rnacentral:lncRNA from 1 species
UUGUGAUCAAAAUCAAUAUGAAAUCUAAAAAUCAGGAUCAAAUUAAAAAAAAAAAAAAAAAAAUAGAUAAUGAAAUGAAACUAUACUGCUAUAUGGCCAAAUGAACAUAUUCUUAUUCACUAUAGUUUUUUACCAAACAAAAUCAUGUAAUCACAACAAUGGGUAAGACUGAGUUAUGGCCAACACAAGAUCCUACAGAGAAAUCAUGAAACAAACAUCACCAACUAUUUAUAAUAAUAAUAAUAAUAUAUGAUUUAUUCAAUUUAAUUUAUUAAAGAGUUUAUAAACAUCAAAAUCUAACCAACAUCCCAGUUUUUUGAUAUUUUCCAAUUGGCUAAAAGUACCUCAAAAGAAUAAUAAAUUAAAUAAAUAGUUGUCGAAAUAGCAGAAUUCACCAUUUUUGGGGGACAAAGGUUGCAAUAAUAAUAUAUAAACCAAAAAAUAAAAAAAUUCAUCAUUUUUCUACAAACCAUUUAUUGUUUUUAAAAAAAUGUUAGUAUAACACAUACAUACCAUAAUUCCAUAAAAACUGUCUUUUGCUUCAAAAAAGACCGACCUUAAAUCACAUGAUACCCCUCUUAUAAUGAGAACAAACCUGUAAAAACUGACAUAUCCCAAAAAAUAUCAUUUUGACCAAAAUACCCUCUUAUAAUGAGACCUUCAAUCUCCCAGACAUCUUCAAAUGAAUAACCCCAGUAACAAAAAUGCAUUCUAGACCCUUUCAGAUCAAGUAAAUUUCCGACAAUCUAUCAAAAAAAUAAAUUAUUUUCUUUUUAACCGAAUCCUCAUUUCCUUCACCUUCAUUAUUAAACACCAAGUAACCAUCCUUAAACCUUAUCAAUUUAAGUCUUAAAUCUUAAAAAAUAUUCAAAAUCACUUUGUUACUACCUUUCUUAAAAAGCCUGUAGUUUGUUGGAAAGCUUUGUGUAUAUAACAAACUCAACCAUCAUCUUCAUCAGUAAAUCAGUUAUCUCAGGUAAAACAAAGUAAAAAUGUAUGCAAGAACCUGAAAAGAUAAGGUCUACACCCAACCAUUGUUGUUUUCUUUAUUUUCACAAAAUAAACAUUUCUUCUAUUUCUACUAUUCUUGAAACUUGGUUUAAAAAGUUCUUGAAUUUUGAAAAUAAAAACCAAAGACUUUUGAACAACUGAAAAUUCAAAUCCAUGAAAAAAAAAUGAUAUUUUUAAGUAAGGAAUUGCAAAAAGAACACUGUAAAUUUAUAAUCAUAACAAGGGCUGGAAAUAUUUCAUCAAGAAACUGUAAUUAUGAAGAGAAGCUUACCACAAGAGUCGUAUUCUUGAUUACAAUGUCAUAAUAUGAUAAACAGUUAUUACAAUGUCUUUGUUGUUUAAACUAACUAAAAUUAUAAUGCUAGUUAGAUUAUAAAAUAACACCUUAAUAGAAAAAAUACUAAAAUUUCAGAUGUUAAGUUUUGAAAGAAAGAAUAAGGCAACAGAUGGUGAGGUUUUCAGAGUACAAAGUCUUGUAAGAAAAAAAAAACUACAAUUGCCUUACAAAAAAGAUUUAAAUGAUAAUGUGAAAAUAAGUUUGGUUUUCAAAGCAAAAUGACUUAUAGAAAUUAAAAAAUAAAAAUAAAAGUAAAAUAUCUUAAUGGAAAAAAUUAGAGUUAAUAACCAAACUUAAACAAGUCAAAAUAUUUCGAGUCCACUUGUCUUAAAGGAGAAAAAGCUAAAAACAGAAGAAACAAUAAUGCUAUGUAAUCUGUCUUAAUGGUAAAAGGAAAGUUUUAGUAGAUCAGAUUUUGAAAGAACAAUGAUAUUAUUACAGGUUAGAUUUUCAAAAACGUUUUAAAAGAAAAAACAAAUUAAAAUUAAAAUGUCUUAAUAAGAAUAAGGCUAUAACCAGUUUUUCCCAUAAUCAAAGUGCAAUAUCUUUUUAAUUGGAGAAAACGAUUCAAAGCACAAUGUCUUAAUCAAAGUGUUGUAACUUAAUAGGAUAAAAUACUUCAAUUAUGAAUCCACAGUCAAGUACAAUGUCUGAAUUAAAAAAAUAGAAUAUAUAAAUGUUAUAAUAUAUUUAACUAAAAUCGAACAGGUUCAAUUUUUGAAAGUGUAAUGUUGGAAAAAAUAAAGGUGCAAUGUCUUAAUAUGUUAGAUUACGGGAGUAAAUGCUAUAAAUGAAUAGUAUACAAUGUUAUAGAUGUUUAGAACUUUAAUGUCUUAAUAAGUAAGAUAUUGAAAAUGAUAUGACUUUCAAUGUACAAUAACUUAAUUGGAAAAAAAAAUAAGUAAAAGUGCAUUGUGCUGAUAGAAAAAAAAAAUAGUAUCUAAAUGCUAUAUAGUCUUGAAAUAUUAAGACUAUUACAAUGUCUUAAUAGGAAAAAGAACAAAGAAAAGUAUAAUGGUACAAUUAGUAAAGAAAAACAACUUAUAAUGAGUCCUAAAAGGGUAAAAAAAGAAAAAUGUUUUAAUAUACUGAAAAGUGCAAUGUCUUAUUAUGAAAAAAGUGGUUUGACUUUAAAAACGUAACUAAAGCUCUAAAAGUAUAACACUAAAAUUGGUUUGAUUUUCAAAUUAUAAUGAGUCCUAAAAGGGUAAAAAAAGAAAAAUGUUUUAAUGGGGAAAAAAAAAAGUAAAAGUAUAUAGCUAUAUUAAGUAACAAAAACAAAGAAAUAAAAAAAUGUUUUAAUAAAAGAAAAAUGUUUUAAUGGGUAAAAAAAAGUAAAAGUAUAUAGCUAUACUAAGUAACAAAAAUAAAGAAAUAAAAAAAUGUUUUAAUACAACAUAUUAUAGAUUUUAUAAGUACAUAUUAAUAAGAAGAAAAAAAAUAAAAGAAUACCUUAAUAUGAAAAAUAUUGAUGGUAUACUGCUAUAAUCUGUUACAUUUUCAAAAUACAAUGUCUUAAUAGAUUAUAACAAUUCAAAGUAGAAUGUUAUAGUUUCAUAAGCAAAACAAAACAAAUUCAGAUUUUCAUACAUAAAAAUGUCCUAACUGAAAAAAAUAGAAUGUUCUAUUAGAUUUUGAGUGUAAAAUGUUGUAAUGAAAAAUACAAGGUUACAAAUAGUUGGAUUUUCAAAGUACAAUGUAUUACUAAAAUACAAUGUUUUAUUAGAAAACUAUGAAAAAGUACAUCAUCUUAAUAGAAAACAACUAGACUUCAAGUAUACUAUGGAUGCUAAGCAACAUAGAACACAUAUAGACCAACAAUGUCUUAAAAUGAAAAAAAAAAAACAUUAAUACAACGUUUAAUAUGCUAAGUUUUCAAAGUGCAUUGUCUUAAAUGAAUAAAAAAAAUGAAUGUUUUACCUUUACAAUGUCAAUGUCUUAAAUAGGAAAAAUAUUAGAAGUAGAAGAAUAUAUGUGGUUGGUUAUAUUUUAAAGUACAAUGUUGUAGGAAAACUAUUAAAGAUACAAAAUCUUAAUCGAAAAAAUUGAAACUAUAAAGUUGUACUUUGAUGACCAAAACAAAAAAAAAUAAACAUACGAGAGUGAAAAGGUAUACUGACUUGAUAUGAAAACAAUAGAAAGUAAUCGACAUAAAAUGUUAUAAUUGGUAACCAAAUUUAAAAAAAAAUAAAAAAUAAAAAAAAAGUUAAGAUUUUUAAGAUACAAUGUCUUAAAAAGUUAGAAUAUGAGGGUGCAAUGCUAUAGAUGAAUAUAUAAUGUUUUAAUUGGUUUAAAUUUUUAAAGAACAAUCUCUUAAUGUUAGUAAUUUAAAGUAAAAUGUCUUAAAAGUAAAAUUAUUUAAGUUUUACAUUGGUAACUAAAACCUUAAAAGUUCAGAUUUUAAAAUUAUAGGCAAAAAUGUCUUAAGAGAAAAAAAAAAAAAAAGGCAAAGAAUACGAUGGUAUAUAUGGUAACCGAAAUCAAAAACUAUGUUUAGAUUAUAAACUACAACUUAAUAGAAAAAAUGUGAUGCUUUAAAAAGUUAUUAUACGAAAGUAUAACGCUAUAAUUGCUUAAAUUAUCAAAGUAGAAAAAAUAAAAGUAAUGUCAUAUUAAAAGAAAAUUUUAAAGUAUAAUGUUAAAAAUGAUAAGAAAAACUAAACAUGUUAGAACUUCAUAGUGCAAACACUUGGAAAAAAAUAUUAAAUAUACAUAUCAAUAAAUGUACAAUGUCUUAAAAUAUGUUUGUGUAUUUAAAUAGUACAAAAACUUAAAUAAGAACAUUAAAAGAGUGACUUUUUAGCAGGAAAUAAAUUUAAUUAUUAAAAGUAUAUAAUGUAUCUUGAAAGUACCAUGUCCUUCAUGGUAAACCAAAAUAGAACAUGUUUUAUAUUUCAAAGGGUAAUGCCUUAGCAGGGAAAAUUUUGAUUAUACUAUAUCUUAACAGAAUGGAUUUUGAAAUAUAUUUUGUUAUAUUUUGAAAGUACAAAUGUUUUAAUCAAAGUGCACUAUAUUUUUUGUUAUAGCAUAUUUUACUUAUAGCUAUAACUCCUUUGAUUAUCAAGAAAUACAAUGCUUUAUACAAAAAAGUUAAAAGCUAUUUGCCUUAAUUGCAAACCAAAAACAUGUUGGAAAUGCGAUUGAAUCAAUACGUAAUAGUUAUAAUACUUUUCUCCUUUGAAAGCAAAAUGCUAUAAUUGGUUGGAUUUUUUAAAGUAGCCUGAAUCAAUACGAAAAAAAUCAAACAGGUUGGAUUUGUAAUAAUAAUGCUAUUAUUAGUUAAGUUUUAAAACUAAUAUGACUUCAUCAGAAAAAAAUAAUUAAAAUUACAAUAUCUUGAUAACAAAGAAUAGAGGAAGGUGUAAUUUGUAUAACUAGUAACCAAAAACAACUUCAGAUUUUUAAACCCCAAUUUUUAAUGUCUUGAAAAGAAAAAAGAAAAAAGAAAUUAAAAUAUUAUACAUGGUAACAAAAAAGUUAGGCUUUCAAACAGAUUACCUUUUGAAAGCAUAAUAAAAGAAAAAAGUAUUAAUAGGUUAGCUAUUGAAAGAAUAAGCCUAUAAAUGGUUAGAUUUAGAAAAUACUAAAUUUUAAAAGCUAAAAAAUAGGUUCCCAAUGUUUUAAAAAAAAAAUGUUUAAGUAACAUAUUGGUAACUAAAAAAUUGCUUAGUGACCAUUUUGGAAUGUGAUAAAAUACUAUAAAGCAUAUAAAGUACAAAGAAAUAAGUUAGGAACUGUGUACGAAGGUUAGUUUGAAAAAUUCAACUUUUUCCAAAAAAAUAAAAAAACAAAGUUUUUAUAGGUUAGAUAAUGAAAUUAUAAGGCUAUUACUACGAGUACAAUGCUAUGAUUACUAACAUUUUCAAAAAACAAAAAAAAAGAGUCUUUAUUGUAAAAACAAUAAAAGUAAAAUGUGAAAAAGGAGUAAAUGUUAAAUUUGAAAUAACAAUGUCUUAAAUAGAAUCUAAAUGUACAAAGUAUAAUGUUAUAACUAAGUAUUCAAAGUAUAUUGUUUUAGUAAGAAAAAGAUAAGAUUACAUACAACUAGGGUCUUUUUUUCGUUUACAUACAGUACAUUCUAAUAUUAACCUAUGCAUCAGUUGAUCAUAACAGUAUAUGGUAAAUUCAUAAUGCUCAUAUAAUUAGAGAUAAAUCAUCUGAAACGUAGAAAAUAAAAGGAGACUAUUAAUUAAUGUCUUAAUAGAAAUGUAAAAUAGAAGGAUAAUGUCUUAAUAGCAAAUAAAAUAAAAGUAGAACGUAUUAAUAGGAUGGAUAACUGAAAGUAAAAUAAAAGUUAAAAUUUUCAAAGUACAAUUAGGAAAACAAUUAUGAGAGGAACGUCUUAAUAAACAGAAAAUAUAAUAUUAUGAAUAGUGACCUAAAUCAAACAAAGAGACUUUUAUAUACCAUAGUCUUAAUAAGAUCUAAUUUGAAACUAUAAGGCUAUAAAUGAUAAUUUUUAACAUAUUUAAAUAAGAAAAAAUAAAGUAUAAUGGUUUAACACAAAAUAAUUUAAGUAUGUUGAUAUAUAAGAGGUAACCAGAUUCAAAGUUCAGAUUCUCAAAGUAUAAAGUCUUUGGAUUGAAAACAAUAAAAAAAAUGUCUAAAAAGUUAGAUUUUCAAAGGAUAAUUUAUUAAUAGAACUUAUUAUAGGUACAAUUUCUUGAUAGGAAAAAAAAAGUUGGAAGUCCAAUGUCUUAUAUGUUAUAAAUCAAAAACAUAAUGUCAACAGUGGGUUAGAUUUUAUUAAUAAAUCUUAAUAAGAAAAAAAAAAUAUCUUAAUAGGAAAAAUAUUGAGUAUGAUGCUAUAAUCUGUUAGAUUUUCAAAGUUCAAUGUCUUGAUCAAAGUGGCAGUAUCUUUAUAUGAAAUAACAAUUCAAUGUACAAAUUCAGAUUUUAAUAAGUAAAAAAAAAUGUCCCAAAUCAAUGUCUUAAUAGGGAAGAAAUUUCAAGUAUAUUAACUACAGAUGAAAAGGAAAAUUUUAUAAGUAAAAUGUUAAAAAAACUAAAAGUUAAAUGUUAUAUAUGGACAUAUGGUAACCAAAUCAAAUAAAUUCAGAUUAAAAAAAUGUCUUAAAAAUAAGAUUUUACAAGUAUAGUAAAAUGUUAAUAGAUUAAAUUUUGAAAGAAUAAAGCUACAAAUGGUUAGAUUUUGAAAAUGCAAUAUCUUAAAGAAAUUAAAUAAAUAAAUGUACAAUGUGUUGAUGUGUUGGAUUUUAAAAGUAUAAUGUUAUUAAAUUUUCAAAAUACGAUAUCUUUAUAGAAAAAAAAUCAAAAAUAUAAUGUUGUAGUUUGAUAACCAAAACAAAACCUGUACAGAUUUUAAGUGGAAGGCCUUGAUAAAAAAAAUAUAAGNUAUAUAUAAAAAACAUUUUAGUGUUAGAUUUUGAAAGUUUAACACUAUAACUACUUUGAUUAUCAGAAAAUACAAUGUCUUAAUACAGGAAAGAUAAAAGUAUAAUUUUUUAGAUAAAAAAAAUAUUGAGUUUCCAACACUAUAAUUGGUAACCAAAAACAAGUUUAAAAUUUCAAAGUACACAAUUUAAGUAACAAAACAGAUAAACAUAUGAGAGCUAAAAGGUAUACUGACUUAAUACAAAAACUAUUAAAAGUACAAUCUCUUAAUAGAAAAAUAGAAUAUAAAAUGUUAUAAUCUAUAACUAAAAUCAAACAAGUUUAGACUUUUAAAAUAUAAUGUCUUCAAAAGAUAGAUAUCUUAUUUGUUAGUAGCAAAUUAUUAUAAUUUCUUAAUAGAUGAAUAUAUAAAGUUAUAAUUGGUUUAUAUAUUCAAAGAUUAAUGUUUUAUUUGUAAAUAACAAAAAAAGUAAAAGUACAAACUAUGAUGCUCUAUUUGGUUUGAUCUUUCUAAAGUAUAAUGCCUUAGGUUAGAUUUGAAAAAAAUAAUAAUGUUAUUAGAUAGGUUUUGAAAAUGCAAUGUCUUUAUAAAAAAAAAUACUAUAUUUACAUCUGUCUAAUAGAAAAAACAGAAGAAAGAAUGGUAAAUUAAGUAAGCAAAAACAGCUUCAGAUUUUCAAACUGCAAUGUCUUAAUAUGUUGAAUUAUCAAAGUGGCUUAAUACAGAGUAUAAUAAUAAACAUACAUUGUCUUUAUAGGAAAAAAUGGUUUGAUUUUAAAAGUAUAACAAAGUAUAAAACUGGUUUGUUUUCAAAGUCUAUUGUCUCGAUAACAAAAAAAAAGUAAGAUGUUUUAAAAAAAGAAUACAAAAUGUUAAUGUAUAUUUGUCUUAGUAGAAAAAAUUAGUAUGAUGUCUUAAUGGGCAAAAAUUAAAAAUAGAUUUUCAAAAAACAAAAUCAUCGAAUAUAUUUUCAAAAUAAAAAAAAACGAAGUUUUAAAAAGUUAAGAUUUUCAUAAUAUAAGGCAAGCGGUUGGAAUUUCGAAAUAAACUUUCAAGAAAAAAAAUUACAAUGAGUUUUAAGUCGUUUCAAAGUGCAAUAAAAGUACAAUGAGGUGAGAUUUUGAAAUAACAAUGUUUCAAAUUUUAGAUUUUGAUCCUAGACCAUAUUUUUUGUUUACAGAACCCUGGGUGUACAAAUAAAAGUUCAAGAUCUUUUUUUGGAAAAAAAAAAUGUUUAAGGACUUUUUGUAUGAAAAAUGCUUUUCAUAAAGAAAAAUGAAACUGCUGUCUUCUGUAGGAAAGAAAAUAAAAGUGUAAUGUUAUAACUGAUUACCAAAAACAAAAUCAAACAAGUUUAAGAUCUGGGUUUUGAAAGUACAAUCAAUCUACAAUGUUAAUAGGAUUGAAAUUAACAUUUUUUUCAUGGGAAAAAAAUUUAAUUAUCAAAAGUAAAAUGUCGACAGCUGUUUAAUAUUCAAAGUAAAAAUGAUAUAGUUGAAAGUAUAAUGCUAUAAUUGGUUGUAUCUUGAAAGUACCAUGUCCAUGGGAAAAAAGGAAAAUAUUAGAUAUGGUAACAAACAAAAAUAAAUUUAAAAACUGAGUUUUUCAAAAUUGAAUGUGUUAGUAGAAUAGAUUUUCAAAGUAUAAUAAAUGUAAAAUGUGUUAAUAGAUUAGAUUUUGAUUAGAAUAAAGCUAUAAUAGAUGAUUAGAUUUUAGAAAUGCAAUGUCUUAAAAGAAAUAAAAGAUGAUUUUAACCUACUAUCUUAAUAGAAAACAAAAGAAAAAUGCAAUAUGUCUUCUUGAUAGAAAAAAUGAAGGGUAUUGAUUAAAUGGUAAAUAAAAUCAAGUAAAGUGUUAUAUAAUUGGUAAGUUCAUUGCCAGUUAUUAGUUGAAUUUAUAUAGUAUAUAGUGUAUUAAUGUGAUAAAAAUUAAAAUUACAAUGUCUUCUUAAUACAUAAAAAGUAAAAGUAUAAUGCUGUAAAUGGCAAUUAAAUCAAAUAAGUUAAGGUUUUCAAAUUACAAAGUCAUAACAGUAAAAUUAAAUUUAAAUGUAAUAAUCUCCUAAUAGGAAAAAAAAAAGGUAUUCAUGAAGGUCACCUGUAUCACAUCCUUUUCAGUCCAAAUACAUUUCAUCCAAUAUGCCCUAAAGUGGUUGUAUUUGGUGCACCAACAGUUGUCCCUAUAAUCAUAUAAAAAAACAAUGGAGUUUAUAGUGAAAGGAAAUAUGAGAAACAUAUGAUUUGUAAGUGUAACAUCAAAAAACUAUAUUGAUUCCUAACUCAAAUUUCCAAAUGUUACAUUCAAUUUAAUUUUUUUCAUUUAGACAUUUCAUCAAACAUAUAAUAUGCAUCUAACAUACCUGCAUUAUCUUUACUACUACAACAUCUAGCAGUUCUAUCAUCCUCAUGAAACAGGUUAGAUUUUCAAAGACAUGGUAACAAAAAGGUUAGAUUUUCAAAGACAUGGUCGCAAACAGAUUAGAUUUUGAAAGUGUAAUAAAAGAAAAAAGUAAUAAUGGGUUAGAUAUUGAAAGAAUAAACCUAUAAAUUGUUAGAUUUAGAGAAUACUACGUUUUAAAAGCUAAAAAAAAGUUCCCAAUGUCUUAAAAAAAUGUUUAAGUAACACAUUGGUAACUAAAAAAUUGGUUAGUGACCAUUUUGGAAUGUGAUAUAAUACUAUAAAGCAUAUAAAGUACAAAGAAAUAGUUCAACAACUGUGUAUGAAAGUUAGUUGGAAAAAAUCAACUUUUUCCAAAAAAAUAAAAAAUAAAAAACUAUGUUUUUUUAGGUUAGAUAAUGAAACUAGAACGCUAUUACUAAAAGUACAAUGCUAUGAUUACUAACAUUUUCAAAAAAAAAACAAAAAAAAAGUCUUUAAAGUAAAAACAAUAAAAGUACAAUGUAUAAAAGGAGUAAAUGUUAAAUGUACAAACUACAAAGUUAUGUCUUAAUAAGUUAUGUUUCAAUUUAUAACGAUAGAUUUGCUUUAGAUACUUAGAUUUAAAAGUAUUAAAGUUCUUUAUAAUGACAUAAUUGGUAACCAAAAUUAAACAAGUUAAAACUUUCAAAGUAUAAUAUCUUAAUAGGAAAACUUUCUAAGUGUGUCUUAUUAGGUUAACUUUCAAAAAUAAAACUAGGGUCUUUCUUUUUUUUUUGGUUUUUCUGUUUUUGUUAAAUAUUAGAAUGUAAUUGAGGAAGUAUCCUUUCUAGAUGAGUUGCUUCAGCAAUAGUAGCAGCUUGAUGACAAAAUGUUAGUAAUCAUAGCAUACAUAGUUUUAUAAACUACACAGAGGAGAGAAUAAGCAUACAUCUAAGUUUUUCACAUCAUCUGAAUUGGCUGAAAAAAUCAAAUACAAAAAUGAAGACAAAGACACAUGUGAGGAAAAAAAACACACAAGUAGAUGCAAAAAUUCACUAAGAUAAACAUGUUGGAAUAAUUUACAGAUAAAUCAUCUGAAACGUAGAAGAACAAUUUUCUCUUAAAACUCAAGUAGGGUUUUCAACUGAUUGCUUUUUUGGUCCACACCAUUUUGAAAAUUGCAUAAAGCAAAUCAAACACAAGUUUAGGGUUUCACCUGAUCAAUAGGAUGAUGGAUAACUGAAAGUAAAAUAAAAGUUAAAAUUUUCAAAGUACAAUUAGGAAAACAAUUAUGAGAAGAACGUCUUAAUAAACAGAAAAUAUAAUAUUAUGAAUGGUGACCAAAAUCAAACAAGUGGACUUUUAAAUACCAUAGUCUUAAUAAGAUCAAUUUUGAAUGUAUAAGGCUAUAAAUGAUAGUAUUAUAAUGUUGACAUUAUACUUUGAAAAUCUAACCAUUUUAUAGAGUUCUUCCAAUUUGAACAUACUUUCAACAUCUAACCUUUUAGACAUUUUUUUUAUUGUUUGUAAUCCAAAGACUUUAUACUUUGAUAAUCUGCACUUUGAAUCUGUUAUAAAUCGAAAAUAUAAUGUUAACAGAGGUUAGGUUUUAUUAAUAUAAAUCCUACUAAAAAGAAAAAAAAUAAGAGAACAUCUUAAUAGGAAAAAUAACAAUUUAAAGUGCAAUGUCAUAACUAAAGUGCAAUAUUUUAAUAGGAGUAAACAAUAAUGCUAUAGUUCAUAAGCAAAACAAAAAACGAAUUCAGAUUUUUAUAAGUAAAAUGUCCCAACAGAAAAAAUACAAUAUUUUAUUAGAAAACUAUGAAAAAGUACAUAAUCUUAUUAUGAUAAGAAAUACAAUAUCUUAUUAUGUUAAGUUUUGCAAGUACAGUCUUAUAAAUGAAAGUAUAAAUAUAAUUAGCUUUUCAAAGUACAAUGUCUUAAUAGAAAACAAUUAGAAAUUGAAUGUCUUAAUAGGGAAGAAAUUUCAAGUAUAUUUACUACAGAUGCUAAGCAAAAUAGAACACAUAGAGAUUGAGAAAGUAAAAAGUAUCAUUAGUGUCUGAAAAGGAAAAUUUAAUGAGAAAAAUGUUAAAAAAGCUAAAAGUUAAAUGUUAUAUAUGGACAUAUGGUAACCAAAUCAAAUAAAUUCAGAUCUAAAAAAACAAUUUCUUUAAAAAAAGGAUUUUGUAAGUAUAGUAAAAUGUUAAUAGAUAAAUUUUGAAAGAAUAAAGCUACAAAUGGUUAGAUUUUGAAAUAGCAAUAUCUUAAAGAAAAUAAAUAAAUAAAUGUACAAAGUCUUGUUAGGAAGAAAAACUAAUACUAUAAUGUUUUAAUGUGUUGGAUUUUAAAAAUAUAAUGCUAAUAAAUUUUCAAAAUAUGAUAUCUUUAUAGAAAAAAAAAAACAUUAGUAUGCUAAAUGUUCAAAAUGCAAUGUCUUAAAUGAAAAAAAAAGGUAUAUUUUACCUUUACAAUGUCAAUGUCUUAAAUAGGAAAAAUAUUUAAAGUAAAAAAGGAUAUAUGUGUUUACCUUUUAAAGUAAAGGCUGUAAAGUACAAAAUCUUAAUUGAAAAAAUCAAAAAUAUAAUAUUGUAGUUUGAUAACCAAAACAAAACCUGUACAGAUUUUAAGUGGAAGGCCUUGAUAAAAAAAAUAUAAGUACAACAUCUUAAUGUUAGAUUUUAUAAGUUUAACAAUGUGAAAAUACAAUGUCUUAAUGCAGAAAAGAUAAAAGUUUAAUGUCUUAAUAGGAAAAAUAUUAGAUAUACAUGUCAAUAAAUGUACAAUGUCUUAACAUAUGUUCAUAGUGUAAAUGUGUCAUUGGUUAGAAUAUCAAAAUACAAUAUCUUAAUAGAAAAAAUAGGAAAAAAAUGAUUUUAAAACUGGCAAUGCUAUACAUGGAAAUAUUAUAGUAUAUUUAAACAGUACAAUGUGUUAAUAUGUAAAAUUUUGAGUGAUUACUACUAUAUUGUGUAUUUAAAUAGUAUGGUAAACCAAAAAAGAACAUGUUUUAGAUUUUAAAGUAAGUUUGUCUUAUUAGGUUAGAUUUCAAAGGGUAAUACCUUAGUAGGAAAAAGUUUGAUUGUCUUGAUAGGAAAGUAAAUAAAAGUAAGUUUGUCUUAUUGGGCAUAUCUUUCAUAGUACAACGUUUUUAUAAGGAAAAAAAAUUUAAACAUGCAAGAAGUGGUAACCAAAAUCAAACAUGUUUAAGUUAUCAAAGUACAAAAUUAGGUAAAAAAAAUAUACGUCUUAAUAGGUAAAUUACCGAAAGUACAAUGAUUUUCAAAAAUUUUGAAGCUAAAUGUUAGAUAUGGUAAACCAAAAUCUAACAAUCUAAGAUUUUCAAAAAAGAAUAUUCAAAGUACAUUAAAAUUAAAAUGUCUUUAAAAAAAAAAAAAAAAAAGAGAUGAAAUUCACCUACCAGCAUUUUCCCAUACAUCCAACAUCCUUAUAGUGGCAACAAAAAUAAAUACAUAUUUAGUUUUUAAAAGUACAAUGUCCUAUUAGAUCAGAUUUUUUUAAGUGUAAUGUCUUAAAGAGAAAAAAAUCAAAAGUAGUAAAUCUUAUAAUUUUAGAUUUUAAAAGUACAGUAUUUUGAAGUAUAACUUCUUAAUGGAAAAAGGUAAUGUAAUGGUUGGUAACCAGAAAAAACAAACUUACACUUCCAAAGUAAAAUUGAAGUAUAAUGUUUUAACACGAAAUAAUUGAAGUAUGAUUAUAUAAGAGGUAACCAGAUUCAAAGUUCAGAUUCUCAAAGUAUAAAGUCUUUGGAUUAAAAACAAUAAAAACGAAUGUCUAAAAAGUUUGAUUUUCAAAGUAUAAUUUUUUAAUAGAACUUAUUAUAGUUACAAGUUGGAAGUCCAAAGUCUUAUAUGUUAUAAAUUGAAAACAUAAUGUCAACAGUGGGUUAGAUUUUAUUAAUAAAUCUUAAUAAGAAAAAAGAAAUAAAAGAAUAUCUUAGUAGGGAAAAAUAUUGAGUAUGAUGCUAUAAUCUGUUAGAUUUUCAAAGUACAAUGUCUUGAUCAAAUUGGCAGUAUCUUUAUAAGAAAUAAAAAUUCAAAGUACAAAUUCAGAUUUUCAUUAGUAAAAUAAAUGUCCCCACAGAAAAAAAAAAUGUUCUAUUAGAUUGACUGUAAAAUGUGGUAAUGAAAAAUACAAUGUUAUAAUUGGUUGGAUAUUUAAAGUACAACUUAUUACUAAAAAUACAAUGUCUUAUUAUGUUGAGUACAAUGUCUUAAUAGAAAACAAUUAGAAAUUGAAUGUCUUAAUAGGGAAGAAAUUUCAAGUAUAUUUACUACAGAUGUUAAGCAAAAUAGAACACAAAUAGAUUGAGAAUGUAUUAAUAGACAAAUAAGUAAAAGUACAAUGACUUAAUACAUUAAAUUUUGGAAGUAUAAUGCUAUGAUUUGAUUUUCAAAUUAGCAUCUGAAAAGGAAAUUUUAUAAGUAAAAUGUUAAAAAAACUAAGAGUUAAAAAUGUUAUAUAUGGACAUAUGGUAACCAAAUCAAAUAAAUUCAGAUCUUAAAAAAGCAAUUUCUUAAAAAGAAGAUUUUGAAAGUAUAGUAAAAUGUUAAUAGAUUAAAUUUUGAAAGAAUAAAGCUACAAAUGGUUAGAUUUUGAAAAUGCAAUAUCUUAAAGAAAAAAAUAAAUAAAUGUACAAGGUCUUGAUAGGAAGAAAAACUAAUACUAUAAUGUUUUAAUGUGUUGGAUUUUAAAAGUAUAAUGCUAUUAAAUUUUCAAAAUAUGAUAUCUUUAUAUAAAAAAAAUCCAUUAGUACAAUGUUUUAAUAUGCUAAAUGUUCAAAAUGCAAUGUCAAAAGGUAUGUUUUACCUUUACAAUGUCAAUGUCUUAAAUAGGAAAAAUAUUAAAAGUAAAAAAAGAUAUAUGUGGUUAACUUUUAAAGUAAAAUGCCGUAGAAAAAUUAUUAAAAGUAGAAAAUCUUAAUCGAAAAAAUAAAUAUAAUGUUGUUAUUUGAUAACCAAAACAAAACUUGUACAGAUUUUAAUUGGAAGGUCUUGAUAAAAAAAAUAUAAAUACAACAUUUUAAUGUUGGAUUUUGAAAGAUUAACACUAUAACUACCAAUUAUCAGAAUAUACAAUGUCUUAAUGCAGAAAAGAUAAAGGUUUAAUGUCUUAAUAGGAAAAAUAUUGAGUUUCCAACACUAUAAUUUGUAACAAAAAAGAUGAACAUAUGAGAGCUAAAAGGUAUACUGACUUAAUAAAAAAACUAUUAAAAGUACAAUCUCUUAAUAGAAAAAUAGAAUAUAAAAUGUUAUAAUCUGUAACCAAAAUCAAACAAGUUUAGACAAUGUCUUAAAAAGAUAGAUAUCUUAUUUGUUAGUAGCAAAAUAUUAUAAUUUCCUAAUAGAUGAAUAUAUAAAGUUAUAAUUGGUUUAUAUAUUUAAAGAACAGUAUCUUAAUAGGAAACAUAUUACAAUUUCCUAAUAGGGAAAAAAAGUAUAAUGCUAUAACUGGUAACCAAAAUCAAACUAGUUUAUAUUUCAAAGAACAAUAUUUUAUUUGUUAGUAGCAAAAAAAAGUAAAAGAACAAUGCCUUAAGUGAAACUAUAAUGCUCUAUUUGGUUUGAUUUUCAAAAUAUAAUUCCUUAGGUUAGAUUUGAAAAAAAAAAAAUAAUGUUAAUAGAUAGGUUUUGAAACUGCAAUGUCUUUAUAAGAAAAAAUAUUAUAUUUACAACUGUCUAAUAGGAAAAACAGAAGAAAGAAUGGUAAAUUUAGUAAGCAAAAACAGCUUCAGAUUUUCAAACUGCAAUUUCUUAAUAUGUUGAAUCAUCAAAGUGGCUUAAUACAGAGUAUAAUAAUAAACAUACAUUGCUUUAUAGGAAAAAAUUUGUUUGAUUUUAAAAGGAAAAGAAAUUAAAAGUAAAAUUGCUAUAUAUGUGACCAAAAAAAACUAGAGUUUUAAGUUGUUUCAAGGUGCAAUAAAAGAACAAAGAGGUUAGAUUUUGAAAAAACAAUGUUAUAAUUUGUCAGAUUUUCAAAACACAAUGUUUGAAGAGCAAAAACAAAUUAAAAGUACAGUUUUUAAAAGAAAAAUAUUUAAGUUAUACAUUGGUAUGUUAAUAAUAAUAAAUAAUAUGUAAUAGAUUAGUAUCUUUUUGUUUACAGAGCCCUGGGUGUACAAAUAAAAGUUCAAGGACUUUUUUUGUAUGAAAAAUGUUUUCAAAAAAGAAAUAUGAAACGACACUCUUUUGUAGGAAAGAAAUUAAAAGUGUAAUGUUAUAACUGGUAACCAAAAACAAUUUCUUCAUGGGAAAAAAGCAAAAGCAUAACUCAAUAAUUAAAAACCAAAACAAAACAUAUUUAAAAAUUUAAAUUACAUUGACUUAUUGGGUAAGAUUUUCAAAUUGUUUAUUAAAAAAAAAAGUACACUAUCUUAAUAGGUUAGAUUUUGACAAUAGAUGCUAUGACAGGGGAAAACAACUGAAAGUGAAAUGUUAUACUGAUAACUUAACUAAAGGAAAAUUUAGGAUUUCAAAGUAUAACAGAAAAAAAAAAUGUCUUAAUAUGUUAUCAGAAAGUAAAAUGUUAUAAUGUUAAGCAUAAGACUCAAAAAGGUUAGAAUUUAAAAGUAUAUGUACUAAUCGAAAGUCAAAUGCUAUAGCUAAUUAGAUUAUAUAUCAUAGUACAAUGCCUUUAUAUGAAAAAUUAAGAUUUUAAAGUCAUCACAGAAAAAAAAAAUUAAAAUUACAAUAUCUUGAUUAGAGAAAAAAAAAAGGUACAUUUCUAUUAACAGUAACCAUAAUCAAACAUGCCUAUGAUUUCAAAUUACAAAGUCUUAAUAGGUUAGAUAUUCAAAAUACAAUCUGGGAAGAUAAAUAAAAGUGCAAUGUCUUGAUACAUAAUAUUUUGAAAGUAUAAUGUUACAAUAGAUUAGUUUUUUCAGAGUAAAAUGAAUUAAUAGGAAAAAAAAAUUGAAAGUAUCAUAUGCUAUAUGUUUAGGUUAUAAACUACAAUAUCUUAAUAGGAAAAGUGCAAUGCUUUAAUAAGUUAUUAUAUGAAUGUAUAAUGCUAUAAUUGUUUAAAUUCUCAAAGUAGAAUGUCUUAAUAGCUAAGUUACAGAAAGUAUACAUGGUUAUUACCAUUUAAACGUCAAUUAGAAAAAAUAAAAGUAAUGUCUUAUUAAAAGAAAAUUUGAAAGUAUAUCAUAUAAUGUUGAAAAAGAUAAGAAAAACUAAUCAUAUUUAGAUCUUCAUAGUGUAAAUGCUUAGAAAAAAAAUAUUAAAUAUACAUCUCAAUAAAUGUACAAUGUCUUAUAAUAUGUUUGUAGUGUAAAUGCGUCAUUGGUUAGAAUAUCAAAAUACAAUGUCUUAAUAGAAAAAAUAGGAAAAAAAUGAUAUUGAAACUGCAAUGCUAUGAAUGAAAGUAUUAUACUAUAUUGUAUAUUUAAACAGUACAAAAACUUAAAUAAGCAAAUUAAAAUUUAAUUUUUUAGAAGAAAAAAUAUUUAAUUAUCAAAAGUAAAAUGUCAACAGCUGUUUAAUAUUGAAAGUAAAAUGAUAACUAAAACCAAAAUAAAAAAAAUAACAAAAAAUUAAGAUUUUCAAAAUUGAAUGUGUUAGCAGAAUAGAUUUUCAAAGUAUAUUAAAAGUAAAAUGUUUUAAUAGAUUAGAUUUCGAUUAGAAUAAAGCUAUAGAUGAUUAGAUUUUAGAAAUGCAAUGUCUUAAAAAGAAAUAAAAGCUGAAUUUCACCUACUAUCUUAAUAGAAAACAAAAGAAAAUACAAUGUCUUAAUAGAAUAAAAAUGAAGGUGUAAUGAUUAAAUGUUAAAGUGUAUUGAUAUGAAAAACAAAUAAAUGUCUCUAAUUGGGUUGGAUUUUGCAACUUUGCUGUAAAGUGUAAUGAUUGGAAAGUUCAUUGCCAGUUAUUAGUUAAAUUUAUAUAGUAUAUAAUGUAUUAAUGGAAAAAAAUUAUAAUUACAAUGUCUUAAUACAAAAAAAAAAAGUAAAAGUUAUGUUGUAAAUGGUAAGUAAAAUCAAAUAAGUUAAAGUUUUCAAAUUACAAAGUCAUAACAGUAAAACUAAAUUAAAGUAGAAUGUCCUAAGAGAAAAAAAAAUGAAAUUAAAAUUUAGAUUUUCAAAUUGCAAAAUCCUAAUAGAAAACCAUAUAUAACUAUAUAAGUACAAUGUGAUAAUAGGUUAGAUUAUGAAAGUAAAAUGUCAUAAUUAUAAUGCUACAACUGGUUAGAUUUUUUGAGUACAAUGUUUUAGUAGAGAAAAAAAAAUUUACAUUGUCAUUAAUAAUAAAAAAAAAUUGGAAGUAUAAUGUUAUAAACUUAUAUAUGAUAACAGAAAUUAGGAACCAGAACUUAUAGUGCUAAAAUUAGUAACCAAAAUCACAUAUGUUUGGAUUUUCAAAAUACAAUAUCUUAAAAAGGAAAAGGUUAAAAAAACAAAAAUAAAAAAUAAACAUAAUGCUAAAUGUGUUGUAUACAUGGCAACAAAAUAAUUAGGUUUUCAAAAUACAAGGUCUCAAACAUAAAUGGUUAGAUUUUGAAAGAAUAAGCCUAUUAAUGGUUAGAUUUACAAAAUACUGAGUUUUAAACACAAAAAAAAUAAGUUCCCAAUGUCUUUAAAAAAAUAUUUAAGUAACACAUUGGAAGUACAAUGCUAUGAUUUCUAACAUUUUCAAAAAUAAAGUCUUUUAGAGUAGAAACAAUAAAAGUACAAAGUCUAAAAAGAUUAUACUUUGAAAGUAAAUGGUCAAUUUGAAAGAACAAUGUCUUAAGUAGAAAUUAAAUGUACAAAGUAUAACAUUAUAACUUAAUAUUCAAAGCAUACUGUUUUAAUAAGAAAAAGAUAAAAUUACACUCUCUUAAUAAGUUAUAUUUCAAAUUAUAAUGAUAGAUUUGGUUAGUUACUUAGAUUUAAAAGUACUAAAUCUCUUUACUGGUAACCAAAAUCAAACAAGUUAAACUAUAUAUAUGUCUUAAGUCUUAAAUUCUUAAUAGAGCAAACUAAAUUUCAAAGUAUAAUAUUAAAAGUCUUAAAGGCUUAGAUUUUCAACAUACAAUGUCUUGAAAGGAUAAAAACUAAAUUCCCUGCGUUCAUAUGCAUUGGUUCUAAAUUGCAUUCAAUCACAACAUACCAACUUAUGAGACAAUAGGGAAAAGCUUAGUAGAUUUAAUUCUAGGUUUAGAGAAAUAAAAUCUACUGUGGUUCUUGUUUGACAAGAGAUAAACGAUGACAACAUGAAUCUUCAAUCGAGGUUAAAAAAAAAAAAAAAAAAAAAAAGGGGAAAUACAUGUUUAANGGGGUAAAAAAAAAAAAAAAAAAAAAAAAGGUGAUUACAGUGUUGUAGAAUCGAAACCCUACCUGAUGUUUGAAUUCUUGUUAAAUCACUGUAAUUGCAGACAACAAAGGAGCAAUUCAACAGCCUGCAUAGAAGACACAAGGCGAUCUCCUUCUUUUAUCUUUUAUAAUCUGCAAUGCAUCAGGUAAAUUUUACACAAAAAAAAAACGCUCAAAGAAGACAUGGAAUACUAGAGAAUAUAGAAACCCCAAUGAGACGAAACAGAAUGAAAUUAAAACGGUCAUCAACGUUCGAUUCUUUCUUCUCCAUACGUCAAUUUUAGUUUUACAGAAGAAAAUCUCACAACUGGAUUUACAGAAAGAAAAAGGAAACCUAUAGAACUCGGAUAGAAUAAAAUAUAGAGGCGAAAAGCAAUUAGAAUGAAAACUUACAGAGAUGUUGAUAAUUUCUUGGAUUGCGGAUAUGGCUAUAGUCUUCCAGAUCGAGAGAAGAACGAAACGACUGAAGACCGCAUCUAUCUAUAUCGCCGAUAUACACCGACGCAACCCUUUCGACUUCCAACGGCUAUUUAUAAAAAUAUUUCCAAAAUUAAGACUUACAAAACGAUAGCUUAGAAAAGCGACAUGUUAAUUCAUUUUUUUAAUCAUUUAUAACACAGCCAUAGUUUUAUUAAUAUGUUUAAUUUCCGGCUUUUAUAAAAAAAAUAAUAAAUAAAUAAAUAAAUGUCAAUAGUAUGUUUAUAAAUACCGGCUCAUACUAGGUUUAGGUUUAUUUUAUAUAUAUAUUAGUUUAUAACCCGUGGUAACCACGAUUACAAAAUAAAUUAAAUUUUAAUAGUAAAAAUUCAAAACAAUUAAUCAAUUAUUUUAAAUAAAUUAUUAAUUAAUAGAUAUUUUUUUAGUUAUAUAAAAUUAUAAGUUAAUUUAAAUAAAUACGUAAAAUUAUAUCACGUUAUAAUUUAUAUUAAUUUUAUUUUAAUUUUUAUUCUAAUGAUAUUAAUUUAAUAUAAUUAGAGUGAAAAAAUUGUAAUUUUGAAAUUUGAAAUGAAAAAAUUAAUAGGUUAACAAAUAACAUUCAUUAAUUAGGAGACCUACUAUGGUGACAUAAUGCAAAAGAAUAAUAAAAUAUACAUUAAUUAGGAUGUCUAAUAGGACGACACAUAUGAAAAAUAGAUUAAUACUAUUCUUUUAUUAGAAUAGUGAUAAAUAUUUUUUUUAGCGAAUAGUUUAUUACGAAAAAUAAUUAUUAUAUUUUAUUAUUAGUUAUUAUGUAAUUUUUAAAUGAAAUAUAUACAUUUAUAUUGCAUGUGUAUAAUAAUGAAGCAAAUGAGUCCUUAAGACAGAAAAGUUAUCUUGGAUGUCUUAAUGGGUUCAUGCAUGAGUUAAGAUAACUUUCAUGGAAAUAGAAUACCAUUUUUGGCAAUUGGGUUUAUUUAGGUCAUGUAAAGUCACCAAGUCAGCAGAAGUGGGCUUUGCGUGUUUUGGGCCUCGGAUUGGGCCAUAUAUUUUUGGUUCUUUAGGCCUUAGUGGACCAUCAGAAGUUUGAUAAUUUGGGCCAAGAAUAUGUUUGGGCUUAGGGUAAGGCCCAUUAGAGGGAUUGGGCUCAAUUUAGCAAAUCGAGCCACUAGUGGCUUGGGAAGUCUACCUAGUAUUAGGCUUUUUAUAUUAUGGUUUUUGGGCCUUAGUUUUGGACCAAUUUAGAUAAGAGGUAAAAUGUUCAUUCUACCUUAAGGAGGAUUGAUGGUUUGGACUAAUUGUUAUUUUGGUAAUGGUAGCUCGGGGAGUCGAGAGAUCAGCAGAUCGGGGAUCUACCAGCUAGCAGUGAGAGGUUUAUUCGCAGGAUUCUACAGUCAGCUUGCGAGGUGAGUUUUCUCCUGUAGGAACGGGUCUAAGGCACCAAUUCUGGCAUGUUUAUGUAUGUUGGUGUAAACCAAAUUUAGAUGCAAUGUCGGGGUUAGCCCAAUGUAGUUUAUAUGCUUCCGAAUUACGAUUUGAUGUCGGGCAAGGCCCGAGGAAGGUAUAUAUGUAUGUUUCCGAACUACGGUUCGAUAUCGGGUGGUACUAGAGGAAGGAAUGCAUGUGUAGUUAUAUUUUUUGUCUUUAUGAUAUUUGUAUGUGCCUGGUAGGGAGGUGAGUGUGGGUGGGGGCCCGUAUCUCAUCACUAGUUGAGUGUGGACGGAGUUCCAUAUCUCAUUAUUAGCAGAGUAGGGGCGGGGCCCAAGAUAGGCGGGGUCUUGAGACUAGCAGUUAUAGUGUUGUGUUUGUAUGUUAUGUAUUAGCAUGAUUAUGAUUAUAUGUUUGUAUGUAUAUAGCGGACGGGGCCCAGAGACAGGUGGGUCCUGGUAGAAACAGAUCUGUAUAUCGAGUGGGGCUUGCAUGUCGGAUUCGUAAGAUGUCGGGCGGGGCCUGAUGUCGGAUUUGACCGAUGUUAUGCGGGGCCCGAGGUAGCGAGAUAGGCCCAAUGUAUGUGUUUAUGUUAUUAUGUGUAUGGUAUGUGGUAGUUUGGGGAGACUCACUAAGCUUCGUGCUUACGGUUUCCAGUUUUGGUUUCAGGUACUUCUAGUAGCAGAAGGAAGAGCUCGGGAUGACUCGGCGAGUCAUAUGAAGAUAGGCAUGAACUCGACGAGUUGGAAGAACAAGUUGGCGAGUCUGUUGAAGAUUGCCUUGGAAUCGGCGAGUCAGGUCGUAGAACCCCAAUCUCUUUUGGUUAAAGCCUCGGAUUAGUGAGUCGAUUGGCGACUCAGUGAGUUUGACAAGAUGGGAAUCAGAGAUCGUUGUACUCGACGAGUCUUGGGGUGACUCGGCGAUUUGAGUUGUGCUUUGAGAGUUUUAUGAGUUUGAGAACUCGGCGAGUCGACGGGUUGACUCGGCGAGUAGAGUCAAUCAGGAAGGUUGACUUUGGCCAGGAUUUUAACUUUGACCAGUUUGACCUUCAAGGUUAUUAUGAUAAUUUGGAUAUUUAUGUCAAUGGAUCAUUGAUGGCUAUAGGUGUUGGAGUUUGGGGCAGUGCUUCGGGUUUGUGCUUUCGUGGUUCGGUUCGGCAGUUGCAAGGUGAGUUAUCCUCAUUAUACUAAGGGGUCUAAGGCACCAAGUCCAGCCCAUUGGAUAUGUUAUCCUAGCAGUGAGAUGUUGAGUAUGAGUUAGUGUUGCAUGUUAGUGGUUAUCUCAGUUAGGUAGAUCUGUAGGGCUACCUAUGAUGUUAUAUGAUUAUUGCAUGCUCAGUAGUUAUGUUAUAUAUUACAUGUUAUGUGGGAUGGGUUGAGGUUGUACUGCUCCGUGCGGUAGCCAACAAACCCUAGAGUAUUCCAGAUAUGAGCUGAGGGCCAGGCAAGGCAUUCCAGACUCAUGCUGAGGACUCGAGAGCAUUCCAGAUACGAGCUGAGGGCCCGGUAGGCAUUCCAGACUCAUGCUGAGGACUCGAGAGCAUUCCAGAUACGAGCUGAGGGCCCGGUAGGCAUUCCAGACUCGUACUGAGGGCUCGAUGGCAUUUUAGAUACGAGCUGAGGGCCCGGUAAGCAUUCCAGACUCGUAUUGAGGGCCCAGGGGUAAUCUAGCUCGCAAAGCUAUGGACCCAUAGUAGUUAUUAUAUGUAUAGGUGUGUGGGUAUUCCAACUCGACGGUUGUUUGGACCCAUAGUAUGCUGUUCAUUGUUGUAUGUGUAUGGUUAUGUGUGUACAGGUAUUUUGGGGGAACUCACUAAGCUUUCGAGCUUACGGUUUCAGUUUAUUGAUUAAGGUAAAUCAAGUGAUCGUUGCAAGGCAAAGACGUGAUCGUACUGCUCCUCAUAUUUCAUGAUCUUGUGAUUUGGUUCUGGGGAUACUCUGAUGCUUAAACUAUUUUAAAAACAAGUUGUAAUAACUUAAUGGUUUUUGAAUGAGUUAAAUGUUUUAAAUUGGCUUGAAUUUUAUGGGUGUUACAAGUUGGUAUCAGAGCCUUGGUUUGAGUGAAUUGGAGGAACACUCGUGUGAAUCCAAUCUCAAAUCAAGGAAAAGAUUUUAAAAUUAUUUCAAAAGGUUUUCAAAAUAAGUAAAGGAUGAUGCAUAGUGUACGAUCAACCGGAGCCAGUAAGUAGACCCCAAAAUACCAUAUCGUUAUUUGAUAUUGUGAUAUGUUAGGACAACAUGCUAGUACUAAGAUAGGGAUCCUUAGGAACCAUAUGAUAGAAUUGCCUGAUCUUUGAUGCCUUAUCUUAUGUAGAGUACCUCAUUUAUUGUUGUAUGUGUUGAAAAAUGUUUUUGUAUGUGACCAUUGUUGAAAUAAGACGAACUAUUCUUAUUUUAUCUGACAACUAUUAUCAGUUAUUUCAGGUUGCGUGGAUUCAUGAUCUAAUGGAAAAUACAAAAAUACGUGAAAGGCGGAAUACGCAAAAACGGAAAAUAGCCGCUUAUUUGGUCGUUUGAAGACAAAACAAAUUAAGGCUAAAAAUUGCCAAGACUUGAAAACCUCAAGGGACUAUUAUGGAAAUUCAUUUAUUUUAAAUGAAUUUAUGAGAUUUCUCAUAUUGUGCUGUGGAAAUGAGAAGUACAAACACAAACACACGAUCCAUGUUGAAAAGUCAAAAAAAGGAAGCAUACCACUUGCAAACAUAGCCUGAAACCUAUAACCCAUUUUCCUUCAUAAUUAAACUCAAGUGUAUUUUAGAUAUUUAAUGUUUGUGUAUAUGAGCAUAUGAUUCGUGUGUAUGUAUAGCUAGGUGAGAGCCAAUGUUUAAGAGAGAAAAAUAAUUCAUUUGAUUAUUUUGUAAUAUCUCUCCAUACACCUUACAUCUCCAUACACCAUACAUCAACAUACAAAAAAAAAAACUCUUCCAACCAAGAACACCUCCAAAACUUCACCACCUUAUAUCAAACUCCAAAAAACCUCAAAAUACUCUCCAAACACCCUCCAAAUACCAUCCUUAAACCUCCUCCAAAAACUUUUUUAAAUCACCUCACCAUCACCACCUUGCUAUUUUUCGACAUCGGAAUUUGCAUGUUAGAAAACAAAAAACGAGCACAACAAAUCCAAAAUACUACUAGGGAGAUUUUCACCAUCAAUUCUUCAGGACAAAGCACAUCGACAUUCGAUAUCACUUUAUCAUUGAAAAAAUUCAAAAGGGUCAUAUAGAACUACACUUCAUCAACUCCGAAGAUCAAAUUGCCGAUGUCUUCACUAAGGCUCUCGAUGAAACAAAGUUUCAAUACUUCCUAGGCCGUCUAGGAAUGUUAAAUCCGGAUAACAUCCAUCCUUAAACUUUUACUUUUUGUUUGUACAAAAGUGUGUUUACUUUCAUUCAAAAAGAAAAUUCAAAAACAUUUGAAAAUUGCUUUCUUUUCAAAAAUACCAAAAACAUUGAAAUAACCAAUAUUUCCAAAAACAUUCAGAAAAACAAAUCUUCAAAAAUAUAAUAAAAGACUUGCUGUAAUAAGCUUUUAUAGAACCUUGUGAUUAAUCGUCUUUUGACUUAAUUUUCAGAUGCUUAUGCUCGAUGAAGAUUUUAAGUCAUAUUGAUUCUCAAUUGGAGUGAAGGUUCAAAUCUCCUACUUUUCAUAAUGUAUAUAACUUUAUUUCCUUCGAUUUUAUUUCAUUAUUGAUGAUUUUAAACAAUCAAGGGACAUAAGGUUAGGAGGUUCAGAUGAAAACAAAAACCCAUGUGAGAACUUGUGCCUCGUCAAUCUAUAUCACUGUGGAAUUCAUUUCUUGUGAGCUUAGGUGUGUCACUAUUGCUUAUAAGGUAUAUCUGAUUAUACCUUGUCACGGUCUCAUUUUUGCUUAGAUAUCAAAAUGACCAGGGACGAUACAUUCAUUUCUUACAUAAUAGACAAACUGUCUUUUAUGCCACCAAUCCCCACCUAGAUAUAAGCCAACCAAAAAUGAACUCUUGAGAUCCCGUGAUCCAUCAACAAGAAAAGACGAAACAAAAAGGAUUUCAACAAUCACUUAUCAAAGAUAAACAAAGAUCUAUCCACAUCUAAUCUUCAAAGACGAAUCAAGAUAAAGACGAAACAGCAAGGAAGCCAUAUCAUUCACCGAAGAAAUACCAAACAAAACAAAACAAAAAACUCUACAUUUGGUAUUUUCAAACAAAGUUUCAACCAAAUGGUUAUUUCAAAACAAUCAUCAAAAGAUCCAUUGAUCUGUUUUUAACCAGUUUUCACAAAAAGGGAUAUCUUAAUCCCGCAAGACAGAUACUCUCAAAAAUCCAAAUUUUCUCAAAAUGUAGCAAAUUCUCGAUGCUAAAACAAAAUAUCUUUUUACAAAAAUCGAUAUUGAUCAACAAAAAGGAUACCAUCAAGGAAGAGCUGCAACAACAAUGAAUUUCCCGGGAUACUGUAGCCUUCAUCAAUGAAAGUUCUUAGUUGCAAACUGCACUAUGAAAAUUGCUAAACCCAUCUACAUGUAUUUCCCGACGGAGAGAGAGUGAAAGUUAAUGGCAUGAAUGAAGAAACCCACUGAGUAAUGCCGAAACCAGUCUUAUGUGAUUGAUUAUCUAAUGAUGAGACUAAGUGACUUUCAGGAAAAGCAUAGUUGAACACCUCCAAUAUGAGUGUGAGUCGUCAGAGAGAGAUAUCACUCAUUUUUAGUGAUCAUUAACUUGUUCUGCUGCCAGAACAACCAAACACCCAAGUGAAGUGUGAGCUAUACCUAUGAGCGUUCAUCUGAAUCGACCUGUUAGACCACUUGUCGUCAUUAAUAAUGCUAUAAAAUCUUAGGAAAUUUCUUUAGAUAUAUAUAUAUGGCUACCCUUUGUUAACCGAACCCGAGACUUUGAUUCGGAAACAAAUUUCUGAAAAUCUUUUACAUAAGAUAUGAUAAACCAAGUCACAAACUUUCAAAUCAAUUACUAUGGUUUUAUAUAUAUCUUAUCAUUGACAAAACUUUUAUCCCAAAUCUUCAAAAUUAAAACUAUCAACAUGAUUAAGUGAUAACUGUCCUUAUUUCAACAAUGAUCACAUAGGGGGAAAUUGUUGAAAAAUGUUUUUGUAUGUGACCAUAGUUGAAAUAAGACGAACUAUUCUUAUUUUAUCUCACAACUAUUAUCAGUUAUUUCAGGUUGCGUGGAUUCAUGAUCGAAUGGAAAAUACAAAAAUACGUGAAAGGCGGAAUACGCAAAGACNAAUAGCCGCAUAUUUAAUCGUUUGAAGACAAAUGAAAUCAAGGGAUAAAUAUGUCAAUACUUGAAACCUCAAGGGACUUUAUUAGAAAUUCAUUUAUUUUAAAUGAAUUUAUGAGAUUUCUUAUAUUGUGCUGUGGAAAUGAGAAGUACAAACACAACCACACGAUCCAUGUUGAAAAGUCAAAAAAGGAAGCAUAUCACUUGCAAACAUAGCCUGAAACCUAUAACCCAUUUUCCUUCAUAAUUAAACUCAAGUGUAUUUUAGAUAUUUAAUGUUUGUGUAUAUGAGCAUAUGAUCGUGUGUAUGUAUAGCUAGGUGAGAGCCAAUGUUUAAGAGAGAAAAAUAAUUCAUUUGAUUAUUUUGUAAUAUCUCUCCAUACACCUUACAUCUCCAUACACCAUACAUCAACAUACAAAAAAAAACUCUUCCAACCAAGAACACCUCCAAAACUUCACCACCUUAUAUCAAACUCCAAACAACCUUAAAAUACUCUCCAAACACCCUCCAAAUACCAUCCUUAAACCUCCUCCAAAAACUUUUUAAAUCACCUCACCAUCACCACCUUGCUGUUUUUCGACAUCAGAAUUUGCAUGUUAGAAAACAAAAAACCGAGCACAACAAAGCCAAAAUACUACAAGGGAGAUUUUCACCAUCAAUUCUUCAGGACCUUACCUACGUCUAGAAAUUUUCAUGGACGAUUUUGACCAUGGGAAACCCCAGAGAGACGCGCGAGAGGAUUGACUAUCCAGAGAGAUUUAUGUUUUCAAGUUCAGAAUCUUCAUGUUAGAAAACAAAAAACCGAGCACAACACAGCCAAAAUACUACUAGGGAGAUUUUCACCAUCAAUUCUUCAGAACCUUACCUACAUCUAGAAAUUUUCGUGGACAAUUUUGACCACGGGAAGCCCCAAAGAGACGCGAGAGAGAAUUGGCUAUCCAAAGAGAUUUACUCCGAAAAUCUACAUCCAUCACCACCCAAAGCUCCUUCAACUUCACCAUCUUUGUUGCCUUACACCACCAAAAUUACAACCUUAUUCCACCUCCUAACACCCUCCAAAUACCCACUCCAACCUCAUUAAAUCUCCUCAAACACCCUAUACCCGUAUACAAAUACAUGACUCGUGUACUUUGCACUGUUUUGUAAACAACCCAUUUACAUGAAAAUGAACUUUUUACUACUUAUCAAAUACCGGAUUGAUCAUUGAACAAAUAUCGACCAGUCGCUCCAAGAGUCCCAAUAUCGACCAGUCCAUUCAAAGAACAAAUAUCGACCAGUCGUUCCAUGAGUCCAGUUCAGUCAAUUUAUUGACGAACCUACUUGAUAUAUAUAUUUAUAUACUUAUAUACUUUAUUAUAGCUUUAUGUCAUUUAAAUAUAGUCAUUUAUAUUAUUUAUAGCUUUAUGUUAUUUAAAUACAGUCAUUUAUAUUAUUUAUAGCUUUACGUCAUUUAAAUACAGUCAUUUAUAUUAUUAUAGCUUUCAGUCAUUUAUAGCUUUCAUAUUUAUACUUAUUCCGCAAUUAUUAUUCUUUAUAUAUAUAUAUCUAUAUCUUAUACCUUUAACUCAUAUAUCUGUCACACAGUAACUGGUAACCGAGCCUUUUGUUGUGGUGAUCAGAUUUUUAUAUUUCCAACAAUCGGUAUCUGAGCUGAUAUAAAAGAAUAUUUUCCAACAGUAUGACUCUUUCGCGUGUGAACUAACUAUUGGGUGAAUACUCCAAAUCACAUGCUACAUGGGUUAAAUGGUCUUAGGGUAAGAGAUUUGGUCCUGCUGCAUAGCUCUUAUCUGAGUCCAACCGUUGUGGGAUUAAAUCUUUUAGUCUAAGAUUGUUUAAGCCAUGCAAUAUGUGAUUGUAUUCAUGCAAUAGUUAACUGGCACCAAUGGAUGGUCGUGUGGCAGUUGGUGGAUGGGUGGGUAGUGAGGGGCCAGGAGGCCAGUUAUGAGAUAUUUAGCGUUCCUCUAGGAGUUAAGAUGGAUCGCUCGCUAUGUUUAUGAAUAUUGUUAGGGUAUUGUAGUGAUACUUGAGACAAAUAUGGGUAGGUGUGGAAGGUAGUAUGGGCCCGUACUACUGAAAGCAUAGGACCCAUAUGCGUAGCAAGGAAGUGACAACCCCUAGGGUUUGGUUGGGAGUAGGUUCCCCGUCGUGUGUGUGGAUUAUCUGAUAUCUUCCUGGUAUAUGUUCAGUAUGGUGAUGGCGAAUUGAUUUGAGGUGGGAUCCGGAUCAGGAUUGGAAGCGAGUGGCCAGUAUAGGCCGGUAUUGUCCGUCGAUCAGUUACGGGAGAUGAUUUCCGUGGAGGUUUCUCAGAUUUUGCAUGAAGAAUUGUUUGGUGUCGUGGACCGGGUCACCGCCAGGGUGAUCGCCAAGUUCGAGGAGCAUGUUGCAGCGUUGCAAUCUAUGAGAGAUGUUGCUACCGGGAUGACUUCUGGGGGAGUGCCAGUGGUGGGGUCACAACUAGGAAAUAGGAGGAGAGACUUUUCAGCAGAGGAUGAAGAGUUGGAGACAGUUAACCUAAGUAUUAGAAGUCAAGAGGGUCAGGAGGUGUGUGGCAAGUGUGGGGGAACCCACGAAUUUGCUUGUCACAAAUUCAGGUGCUACAAGUGCGGGGAGAGAGGGCAUGUGCAAUGGGAUUGCAAGAAGGAUCAAAUAUGCUUUCACUAUCACCAGCCAGGUCAUUUCAGGUCUAGCUGUCCUGCAUUGAGGAUGGAAGGACUUCAGAUUCCAGCAGUCAUCAUUCCUUAGGAGUUCAAGGUCGAGCUGCAAGAAUUCGUUGGUAUGUAAUUGGAAAGCCCCCAUUCUCUAAUAAUAUUUUGGUCAAAUCGUCUGUGAUCGGUUUCUAUUUUGUCUUGGAAUAUUGUUGAAUGUGGACAAGCUGUAAUUUCGGGUUAGUUGCCUGUUCUGUUUGUUUUAUGUGUCGUGAAGUUUAAUGAGUGGUUAGGCCAUUAGAGGUGUCAGGAGAAAUUUAUUAUCAAAGGAUUGUAGGUGACUAGAGUUCAGGGAUUCAUUAAAAAUGGGUAUUAUAUGGGAGGUUUGCUUAUAGGGUUCCACAGGAUGGUUAUUCAGCAUUGUUAAGAUUCAGUGGUUUUAGCAACCGUUAGUGACUGACGGACAAAAGCGCCCAGAGAAGUUACUCGUUGCUGAGGUAUUAGUUGGAGCAUCUAUCUUGUGGUCUUCAGGACGUGAGUGUAGGGUCAUUCAAGCAUUAGUGGCUGUCGGUUUCACUGGGAUUCAGGAAGUGUUCAUCUGAUUCUUAUAAGUAUGUGAUCAAUUGUGACUAACUAGUAAUGGAGCACUAGUGGGAAAGAAUUGGUUGUCAUCAUAUUGAUCGUUGGGAAGUGAGAAGGAUUGGGAAUCCUCAAAUUUUCAUGUAUUAUGAGGGUUAGUCGAAUCUAAGUGGGGGAGUGUUACCCCGAGAUGUGGAAGUUGGAGAGGUUUUGAAACGGGGAUAAUUUCACAACCCGAUAGGGAGAAUGGAGGCCCUAGUGGCUGCUUGGGUUGAGGGUUGUGUUGAUUGGGGGUUCAACAAAACUCCCCAGCAUAAGAACACGUCUUCUGGGUGCUUGAUAGCCGAAGUUGGGGAAUCAGGUUGGGAUUCUAGCCAUGAAUUGAGUUCAGUUGUGUGUUAUUUUGAGUGCGUGUUCGGCCAGCAUGGAAAGUGUUGUAAGACUACGGGGGUAGCCGUAGCAAACACUAUCAAUUAGUGGGUCUGUCCCCAAGUAUUGAACAUGUUGCUGGAAUAGGCUGAAGACUCAAGUGUAUUUUGGUUUGAUCGGAAGUUGUUGUGAGAGAUCAGAUGGAGUGCAAAGGAUCUUGGUGAUCCCAUCAGUUCAGAGUGUCUCCGUGGUUUCAUCUUCUUGGAUGAGUUAAUACUCCAGUUGGGGACUGAUAGUGGAUCUAAAUGGGUAUUCGUCAAUUUUGGGAAGGUUUGGGAUUAGAAUAUCCUGUCAUUCAGGUUCUGGGAAUCGGGUUAGAUUUUUCUCAUGAUCGUCUAUCGCAUUCGGAUAGGGUUGAGGCAGUCCUGCUCUAUGCAGUAGGCCAAGAUACCCAGUGCGGGCCGACUGUAAGUCGUAGGCAUGGAGGCUCGAAGGGAUCAGUAGGGUUGAGGCGGUAGGCCAACAAACCCUGAGAAUUUCGACUCGAUAGUUGAAUUGAUUAGACAUGUUGGUAUUCUAACCCGAAGAGGGUGAUAUGGGUUACAUAUGAGUGCCGUGCUGGUUGGCCGGCAGUGGUAGGUAUGUUGAUGAUGGUUUGAGUUAUCGUGAUGUGUCUUGGGAUUCGUGUGUGGUAGUAGUUUUUGUAUCAUAUGUUGUUUGUUGAAGAGAGAAGCUUCGAUGUUGUGUCAAUGACUGAUGCUGCAAGGUCAGGGGGUUAAGCCUCCUUGGCGUUGAAGGAGGUGAGUAUCUCUAGAAUGGAGUUUUGGACAGACUCAGAAGCAAUCCAGACCUAUGAUGAGGACCAUGUGAGGGUAUUCCAGUCAUGGGUUGUGGGCUUAGAGAUUGUGUGAUUAUUUCUGUUGUAGGAGCGCGUUCAUAUUGGACGUAUUGUUGAGAUUUGGGUGAGUUGUGCUCGGUUGUGUCGAAUCAGAGGAGUUUGAAGGAAAUGCAAGGAUAGAUCCUUGGAUACAGAGUAUGGUUGUAGACAUGGGAUAUGUAUGUAGUGGUAUUCCAAUCUGGGGUAUUCCAUCCUGAGGAUGACCGGACCCUAUGAUUGAUUGGACCUUAUGUGUUUGGUAUUCCAACCCGAGGGUUGAUUGGGCCAACCAUGCGUAAGGAUACGAGGGUAUACCAUCCUAGGGAUGACUGGACACGUCAUAAGCAUACCUGGUAUUCCAGCCUGAGGCUGAUUGGUCCAGGUAUGAGUGUUUAUGUGAUAUAGCUGGUUGUUCAUGAGAGUUACUCGAAAGCUGAAGGAUGCGUCAUCCUGUCAGCGUGAAAAGGAACUAGAUUCAGGAAGGAGUUGUCCUUAGUAGGGACGAGAUAGUAGUGUCUGGAGUGAUCUGAGUUGGUUGGGGAUAUCAGAGUCUUCAGUGUAGGGGUGUUAUCCAAGAUCGGGUGCUGCAACAGGCUUCGAGGACGAAGCCUAAUUUAAGUGGGGGAGAGUUGUAACAUCCCGAAUGUCAGAAGUAUGAUUUAAGGGUUUAAAGUGUAAUUUCGAAGAAGGGACUCGACGAGUAGGUAUGCUUACUCACCGAGUCGGAGCGGGUUUUGGGUCGCGAAUUAAGUGACCAACUCGUCGAGUUGGAAGCAGGACUUGACGAGUUGGUGCUGGAAUGAGAAAAACCCUAAUCUCGAGGGUUGCACCCUAUUUAAAGGACUUUAUGUCCUUCUCUCAGCCUCCUUAUUGCCAUUGAGAACCAGAAAACCCUAAGCUCGUGUGUGUGAGGCCUUUGGAGAGAGAUUGAAGCUUUGGAAGUUGUUUCUAGUGGAAGAAACUUGAAGAUCAAAAGGGCUUACAUCAAGAGAGUAGUGUAGAUCCCGAAUCUACUUCACUUUGGGCACAUCUUGGAGGUAAUAAGUUGUUAUCUUCACUCUUUUGCAUCUAGAUCUAUUCAUGGAUGAGCUUUGGGGCCAUUUUGGUAUGUUUGAGAUCUAUUUCGGGUUUGGAGUUCAGAUCUGAAGUUGCUACUCCAUAUCUAGACUUGUGUUGGUCUAGAAUGUCAUAAAGCAUCAGUCAAUGAGUUGUUGGUGAAGCCCCUUUGUCUUAAAUCCUAGCCCUAGAGUGAUUUGGACCUUUAACUCCUUGGUUUCACGUAAAGUUUGCAACUUUAUGUAAGAGUCAUGACUUAGAAGAGUGGAUCUACUGUUUGGAGCCCCUGCAUGGCUCAAAAAGCCUCUGUAUGGAUGAAGGACUGAAGAGACUCGACGAGUUCCUUGGGUGGACUCGGCGAGUCAUAUGGAGAUAGGCAUGAACUCGACGAGUUGGAAGAACAACUCGGCGAGUCUGUUGAAGAUUGCCUUGGACUCGGCGAGUCAGGUCGCAGAACCCCAAUCUCUUUUGGUUAAAGCGUCGGAUUAGUGAGUCGAUUGGGGUGACUCAGCGAUUUGAGUCGUGCUUUGAGAGUUUCAUGAGUUUGAGAGCUCGGCGAGUCGACGAGUUGACUCGGCGAGUAGAGUCAAUCAGGAAGGUUGACUUUGGCCAGGACUUUGACUUUGACCAGUUUGACCUUCAAGUGUAUUAUGGUAAUUUGGAUAUUUAUGUCAAUGGAUCAUUGAUGGCGAUAGGUGUUGGAGUUUGGGGCAGUGCUUCGGGUUUGUGCUUUCGUGGUUCGGUUCGGCAGUUGCAAGGUGAGUUAUCCUCAUUAUACUAAGGGGUCUAAGGCACCAAGUCCAGCCCAUUGGAUAUGUUAUCCUAGCAGUGAGAUGUUGAGUAUGAGUUAGUGUUGCAUGUUAGUGGUUAUCUCAGUUAGGUAGAUCUGUAGGGCUACCUAUGAUGUUAUAUGAUUAUUGCAUGCUCGGUAGUUAUGUUAUAUGUUACAUGUUAUGUGGGAUGGGUUGAGGUUGUACUGCUCCGUGCGGUAGCCAACAAACCCUAGAGUAUUCCAGAUAUGAGUUGAGGGCCAAGCAAGGCAUUCCAGAAUCAUGCUGAGGACUUGAGAGCAUUCUAGAUACGAGCUGAGAGCCCGGUAGGCAUUCCAGACUCAUAUUGAGGACUCGAGAGAAUUCGAGAUACGAGCUGAGGCCCGGUAGGCAUUCUAGACUCGUACUGAGGGCUCGAUGGCAUUUUAGAUACGAGCUGAGGGCCCGGUAGGCAUUCUAGACUCGUACUGAGGGCCCAGGGGUAAUCCAGCUAGUAAAGCUGUGGACCCAUAGUAGUUAUUGUAUGUAUAGGUGUGUGGGUAUUCCAACCAAAUGGUUGUUUGGACCUAUAGUAUGUUUUUCAUUGUUGUAUGUGUAUGGUUGUGUGUGUCCGAGUAUUUUGGGGGAACUCACUAAGAUUUCGAGCUUACGGUUUCAGUUUAUUGAUUCACGUACAUCAGGUGAUCGUUGCAAGGAAAAGACGUGAUCGUACCGCUCCUCAUAUUUCAUGAUCUUGUGAUUUGGUUCUGGGGAUACUCUGAUAUUUAAACUAUUUUGAAAACAAGUUUUAAUAACUUAAUGGUUUUUGAAUGGGUUAAAAUGUUUUAAAUUGGCUUGAAUUUUAUGGGUGUUACAUUGAAGAUCACCGACGGCCGUCAAGGCUAAGCAGAGGCGCCUAUGACGAGGAGCAGGGCUUUCCAGUUGAUUACAAAGGAGACAUGAGCAACUUCCGAUUUUGCAGGUGCGUAUCUUUUGCUUUUCAGUCAGUUUUUUAUUUUAUGAUUUUAUUGCUAUUUUCUCACAUCCAUAUGAUUAGUUAUAUCUUGGGAUUAUACUUCCUAUUUAUGUUCGGAUUAUAUGUCAUCUGCAUACCAUGGGUCUUAGGGUAGUAGUGUGGGGACGUCUCUGUAUAAAGAGGGUUCUCAGGAUGUGGUAGCUGUAGCAAGUGUGAUUGGAACCCGGGAGUGUUCCGACAGUCUUCAGGGGUCUUACUGCUUUAGUGUCGGUUAAUUUUGGGAACACUAACAGUGGUAAGCAUUGGUUGUCAGCGAGAUUGAUCACUGGAUGAUACCAAGGAUUGAGGAUCUUUCUAGUCGGGGGUGCUGUAAGAUGUUAGUUGAACCAAAGUGGGGGAGGAUUCUCCAAGGGCUCAGGACCUGAAGGAAGUGUGGAUUUAGGAUGAGUUCGCAUUAUCGUCAGGACGAAAGGCCCCUAAGUGGCAGAUUAGAUCAAGGGGUAUGUGAGUUGGGAGUUUAGGAAACCUCCCAACAUAGGGUUGGUGUCCUUUUUGGUGUUCGAUAGUAUGCUUUGGGGACCAAGUUGAGGAAAUUCCCGUCAAUACGCGAUUCAUCCAGGUUGUUAGGCCGUGUGCAUGAUCAGCGUGGAAAGUGUUGUAAUAUUGCAGGAUAGCCAUAUCAUUCACUAGCAGCUAGACAACGUAGGAAAUAUUGUAAGACUGCGGGAUUGCCGCAACAUUCAUUAGCGGCUAGUUAGCAGAGUGUGGGCGGGGGCUCGUAUCUCCUAGUUAGCAAAGUGUGGGCAGUGACCCGUAUCUCCUAGUUAGCGGAGUGUGGGGGAGGCCCGUAUCUCCUAGUCAUCGAAGUGUAGGGGAGGCCCGUAUCUCCUAGUUAGUGUGAUCAGAAUUAGGAAGGGACAUGUAGAUAGAACUCGAGGGAGUUGUACCUGCAUAGCCCUAGAUAGGUGAGACCUAGGGGCCAGACCACUUAAUAGUAUGGUUUGGGUGAGACCCGUGGGCGAGGCCCGUGCGAACUUAGCAAGGGAGGUGGGACCUGGCAGAGACCGUAGGGUUGAGAUAUAGGAUCGAGGAUUCCAGGAUUUAUAGAGCCAAGGGUGGCAAUGUGGAUAGAACAAUUUCGAUAGCCUAAGUUUCGUCGGAAGUCGUUGGGAUCAACUAAAAGGGUGUUCAUUGGUUCGGUAACCUGGUGGAAUCCGGUAUUCCAAAUAGUGGACAAAUAAGUUUGGACCUGGGAGGUCCCAAUUCCUUCGGAAGGUAGAUAAGAGACAACAUGAUGUUCAGGUAGAAGUAGUGAUCUGAGGAUUCUUGUGUGAGGAAUAGUUGUUGAUCGAAAAUACGAAGACACUUGCAGUUGGAUUAAAUAAUCUCAAAGUAAUUGCUUUGACUCUGUUACGCAGCUCUCGUCUGAGUCUAACCGUUGUAGGGAUGAAUCUUUUACUCGAAGGAUUAUCUGAGCCUUCUGUCAUGUAUGAUUGUCCUACAGAGAGUUAUGUGUGGGCAGUCUGUUAGGGAGACAUACCAGCAUGGAUUUGGAAUCUAGAAAAGCAUAAGUGAUUUGCUAAAGCUGAAGUUCACUUCCUUCGGGAUGAAAGUUCGAUUGGUUUUUGGUUGUUUUGAGAAGAAUGGAUUGUUCAUAGAACCAUCAGUUGUGUUCCUCAGAUCAUUAGUUUGGAUAUAGGUGUUAGUAAGGAGCAAUUUCGAGGACGCAAUCCAAUUUAAGUGGGGGAGAGUUGUAUCACCCGGUUUUGAAAGUACUCGGUUGUGGAUUCGUAGGACAACGGUAUAUGGUAAUGUGACGAUUCAGUCUUUUAUGGGUCUCGGGUCUUAUUCGGAAGGUUUUAGCAUUGGGGGUAUAGCUUGGAGCGUAGGGCUUCCCGCCACCUUUUCGUGGAUAUGAAGUUCGUCGGAAAUGGGCUUAAAACGAAGAAGUUAUAACACUUUGAAGCUAUUGGCAUAUUGGUCCCUAAUGGAAAAAAGUGGCAAGAAGGUACCAUGCAUGCAAGGUGGCCAACACGGAAGUAACCCAACGCUAGUUAAGGGCACGCCCAACGUAGAGGAGUAAGUGGACGCGGGUGUGGGAGGAGUUCGCCCAACGUACGAGAAGUACGCCCAACGUACGCUCAGAGUUCCUAAGCACUACUUUUGGGGCUAAACACAAUAUAAAGAACAAAAUCCCCUAGAUAUCAGCCUCCCUCUCAUUCUUAGACAACUACCACAAAAUCCUAAUCCUUCCUGGAGUGUUCUUGUAGCUUAGAAAGCCAUUAAAUAGCAUUUUGGAGUUGUGAAGCCAUUUUCCAAGCAAGUGAAGAGCAAAGCAAGGUGGUGGUUCAAAGGAGAAGCUUUAGAUCCGAGAUUGUUGCUUCAUUUCAGAUCAUCUUGAGGUAUAAAGUCUUGAACUUGCCUCUUGAAUGCUUAGAUCUAGUGUAGUGAUGCUUUGGAUCUUUUUGGUCCCAAGAAUGGAGCUUUAUAGUUCAAAUUUGAUUCUUAGGCUUCGAGUUGCCACUCUCAGUACCAAAUGAAUCCCUAAGAUAGAAAGUUGCCAUCUUGGAUAUCUUAAUGGGUUCAUGCAUGAGUUAAGACAACAUUCAAGGAAAUAGAAUACCAUUUUUGGAGUUGGGUUUAUUUGGAUCAUGUAAAGUCACCAAGUCAGUGACUUUAUGGAUUAAGACGUUGAAGAGGACCUGGAUCUGUGAUUAUAGCCUCUGAAAUAGAGUAUUAAGUGCUUAAUGGGAAAAGUGACUUAAGAGAGAAGUACGUCGGGCGUACAUGCAAGUACGCGCAUCGUACACACCAUGUACCCUGUACGCCUAGCGUACAGAGGAGUACGCCCCGCCUAUUCAGCAGAAGUGGUCUUUGCGUGUUUUGGGCCUCAGAUUGGGCCAUACAUUGGACUUUGGUUAUUUGGGCCUUAGUGUGCCAUCAAAAGUUAGAUAAUUUGGGCCAAGAAUAUGUUUGGGUUUAGGGUACGGCCCAUUAGAGGGAUUGGGCUCAAUUUAACAAAUUGGGCCAUUAGUGGGCCACUAGUAGGCUUGGGAAGUCUACCUAGUAUUGGACCUUUCAUAUUAUGGUUUUUGGGCCUUAGUUUUGGACCAAUUUAGAUAAGGGGUAAAAUGGUCAUUUUACCCUAAGGAGGACUGAUGGUUUGGACUAAUUGUUAUUUUGGUAAUGGUAGCUCGGGGAGUCGAGAGAUCAGCAGAUCGGGGAUCUGCCAGCUAGCAGUGAGAGGUUUAUUCUUGUGAGGUGAGUUUUCUCCUGUAGGAACGGGUCUAAGGCACCAAUGUCGGCCUGUUUAUGUAUAUUAGUGUAUACCGGAUUUAGAUCCGAUGUCGGGGUUAGCCCGAUGUAGUUUAUAUGCUUUUGGAUUAUGAUCUGACAUCGAGCGAGGCCCAGGGAAGGUUUAUAUGUAUGUUUCUGAACUGUGGUUCGAUGUCGGGUGGUACCCGAGGAAGGAAUGCAUGUUUAGUUAUACUUGUUGUCUUUGUGAUAUUUGUAUGUGCCUGGUAAGGAGGUGAGUGUGGGUGGGAGCCCGUAUCUUAUCACUAGUUGAGUGUAGACGGGGUUCCAUAUCUCAUUAUUAGCAGAGUAGGGGCGAGGCCCAAGAUAGGCGGGGCCUUGAGACUAGCAGUUAUAGUGUUUUGUGUUUUUUUGUUAUGUACUAGCAUGAUUAUGAUUAUAUGUUUGUAUGUGUAUAGCGGACGGGGCCCAGAGACAAGCGGGGCCUGGUGAAACAGAUCUAGAUACCGAGUGGGGCUCGAUGCCAGGAGGGUCUUGAUGUCGGAUUCGUCCAAUGUCGGAUGGGGCCCGGGGUAGCGGGCUAGGCCCAAUGUAUGUGGUUAUGUGAUUAUGUGUAUGGUAUGUAAUAGUUUGGGGAGACUCAUUAAGCUUCGUGCUUACGGUUUUCAGUUUUGGUUUCAGGUACUUCUAGUAGCAGAGGGAAGAGCUUGGGAUGACUACAUUGUACACACAAUGAUGAUUUAACCUAGGAUGAUUACUCUAAUGUUUUGAUAUGAUACUCUGAUAACGUUUUGAAAUACUUGAAUUAUAUUUUGAUGAAAUGAUUGAUAACUAUGGUUUAUUAAAUGGUUUAAAACGAAAUUUUUGGUCUAGAAUUUUGGGAUGUUUCUUGUGUUUAGGCAAAUCUAUUAUAUCCCAAGUAUUUUUUUUAAAGGGACUCCAUCUCAUCAUUCAUUGGUUUAAUCCAGUUAGGAUCAAAGCAAGCUUCAAGAUAAGACUGAGGUUCUAGUGUCUUGUUUAGAUUAGAAAUAAAACACUUGUUUUCUAUUUUACAAGGAUAAUUUACAAUUUUUUCAAUACCAUAUUUUGUAUUUUCCUUCAAUGACAUAGUCACUGAAUUUAGUAGGAAGUUUAGAAGUUCUCUCUCUCUCUCUCUCUCAGAUUAACCCAAUAUGAAACGGUUCUUGGAUUUGGAAACCUAAGAUCGUCAUCCCAAUUUCCGGCCAUCCACACUCCGAUCAAACCCUUAACCAACACCACCCUCUCCUCCUUACUCCUUCUCCGCCGCUGUAAUUUUGGAUCCAUACUCAACCCUUUUUCCAUCGUCGAAUUCUCCACAACAAAUUGGACAUGUUCCUUCUGCCUCCACCGCAAUCACUUUCCUCACCAAUAACAAUCUAAUUCUGAUGAUAACCUCCCGAUGAAGCUCUCUCUAUCUCAUACAAAUACACAAACUGUCGAUUUGUUUUCAUCAAAUCCUCUCCAUAGAAACAAUUGAGAAAACCGGAGGUGACUGGAAAGAAAAGCAGGUAAUAAACACACACACACACACACCUUUUCAAGUGGUUGGGGGUUUUUGGAUUUGCCAUCAAAGGGUUUAAUCUGAACGUUGUUUAAUCUCAAGUAAAAAGGUUUGAGUUUUUUUGAAUUAAUACACAUACUUUGUUUACAGACCCCUAGGUAUGCAAAUAAAAGUUUAGUGACCAUUUUUGGAACGUAAUACACAAUGCUAUUAUUAGAUAAGUUUACAAACUGCUGUGACAUCCCCAAUUUCACGGCCGAAAAGACCGAUCUGUUUAUGCUUUAUAAAUUAGUGUAAAAAUACUUUUAGCAAUAUAUUUUUAAUUUCCACUGCGCAAUGCGCGGGAAUUCGUCUACUUUUUAAAUAUACAUCAUAAUCAAUACCCUUUUCUCACACGUGUCAUGCUCUCAGACAACUACAUCUUCGGAAGGCCAUAACUUUUGCAUACAAGCUCCGUUUUUGACGUUCUUUAUAUCCACGCGAAGGUGGAGACGUACUCUAAAACUUUCAUUUAGAACCCUAAGGCUAAAAAGUAAUCUAUCAUAAACUCACUUUUUAUGAUUUCCGGUGUCGUGUCGGUUUUGUCAGGAAACUUCGACAUGUCAUAACUUCUUCGUUAUAACUCGGAUUUUGGCGUUCUUUAUAUCUACGGAAACCUUGUGACAAAUACUACAACUUAUUUAAGAUUAUUUAUUCUAAAUAAUCCUCUAUCAAAAAGUCAUUUUUGAUGCUUAUCGUCUUUAAAUUGACUAGCCCGAAUCUGCGGCGUUACAACUGCAAUGUCUUUAUAAGAAAAAAAAAUAUUAUAUUUACAAUUGUAUUAACUCUUAAUAGGAUAAACAGAGAAAAGAAUGGUAAGAUUAUUUGGCAAAAACAACUUCAGAUUUUUAAAACGUCUUAAUAAGUUUUAUUAUCAGAGUGGCUUAAUACGAACGAUAAUUAAAACUACAUUGUCUUUGUAGGAAAAAACUGGUUUCAUUUUAUAAUCAAUUAUAACGCUAAAUAUAAAUAGUAUGAUGUCUUAAUGAAAAAAAAUUUAAAAGUUAACAAAAAAUAAUAGAUUUUCAAGCAAAAUUUAUCAUCAAAUAAAUUUUCAGAGUGUAAAAAACUAGGUGUUACAAAGUUAGAUUUUCAAAAUUUAAUGCUAUUAAGUGGUUGGAGUAUCAAAAGAAAAGUUUUAAAGAAAAAAAAAUUAUGAUGUUUGAAAGGAAAAAAAAUAAAUUCACAUAAAUGCGAUAAAAAAACGUAGAUUUUUAAGUCGUUUUAAAGUGCAAUAAAAGUAAAAUGCAAAUAGAUUUUGAAAGAAAAAUGUACAAUGUCUUAAAUGGAAAAUUAUUUAAGUUAUACAUUGGUAACUAAAACCUUAAAAGUUCAAAAUUUCAAAUUAUAGGCAAAAAUGUCUUAAAAGGAACAAAAAAAAAAAAGGCAAAGAAUACUAUGGUAUAUAUGGUAACCGAAAUCAAAAAAUAUGUUUAGAUUAAAAACAAUAACUUAAUAGAAAAGGUGUGAUGCUAUCUAUAAUUGCUUAAUUUUUCAAUGUAGAAAAAAUAAAAGUAAUGUCUUAUUAAAAGAAAGUUUUAAAGUAUAAUGUUAAAAAUGAUAAGAAAAACUAAACAUGUUAGAACAUCAUAAUGUAAAGGCUUAGAAAAAAAAAUAUUAAAUAUACAUCUCAAGAAAUGUACAAUGUCGUAAAAUAUGUUUAUAGUGUAAAUGUGUCAUUGGUUAGAAUAUCAAAAUACAACCACAUUAACAUUUGGAUUAUUUUCGGUUUGAGAGAGUAACUUUCCAUAAGACUCCAACUUGCUGAAAGAUGUAACUAUAUCACCCACUUAUGCUUCAAGGUUGGAGAUACUAGUUAUUGUCUUUUUUAAUUAUUGGGUACUAGUUGCAAGAGACUUGACAAUGUCAUCAAGAGACAUCCCUGACAUAAAAGAAUUUUAAAAUGUGGUUUGGCUUGAUAAUGGGGUUGUUAUGGCGGGUAUAUUUUUGACAUAAAAGAAUUUUAAAAUGUACAUUCCUGAUAUCGUACACUCUAGACAUUUUGGAAUUUUUACACUACAUUUUGGCAUCAUAUAUAUCUUUUUUUUUAUUUGUACUCAACAUGUCACUACUUUUGUUAGAUUCUCAUUACAACUUUACGGUAGAUUUCAAAAGAUAAAAUUAUACCGAAUCCUACAUGUCGUAAAUUUUGAAAGUCUAACAUAAUUCAUUUAUUUAAUUUAGGCCUAUCUGAUGCUCACAUUGUGUCGUCCAUUAUAGCACCUAUAACUAACAUCUUAUAUUAUAGAACUAGUUUAUAGACGUUAGAAAAUUAGUAAUACAUUUGCAAUGUGUUUUAAAGAUACAUGCAACAUUCUUUAUGUCUAAAUUAAUGAUAAAAUAAUUAUGUUGUAUAAGGAGAUAUAAUCAUAUAAAUUGAAAAAAAAACAUAGACAAUCAAUGAUGGAAUAAACAUUGUUUUAUUUAAAAUUUUAAAGUAAAAUAAUAUAAUAAUAAUACAUUAACACAAAACAUAAAAAAAGAAAAAAUAUUGAAGUACAAAAAUAGCCCUAGUUUUUUAUAGUUUUAACCGUGUUUAGUUCUAAAUUGAUAUUUUUCAAUUCUCAUCGUUUCGAAUUUUGGUCCUUAUUUUAAGGUUAUAUACCAAUUUCGUUCUUAUUUCUGGGUUCUUGUGAUCAAAAUCGAUAUGACCAAAACAAGAUCCUACAAAAAGAUAAUGAAAUGAAACUAUACUGCUAUAUGGCCAAAUGAACAUAUACUUAUCCACUAUAGUUUUUUACCAAACAAAAUCAUCUAAUCACAACAAUGGGUAAGACUGAGUUAUGACCAAAACAAGAUCCUACAGAGAAAUCAUGAAACAAACAUCACCAACUAUUUAUAAUAAUAAUAAUAAUAUAUGAUUUAUUCAUUUUAUUUUAUUAAAGAGUUUAAAAACAUCAAAAUCUAACCAACAUCCCAGUUUUUUUUAUAUUUUCCAAUUUGCUAAAAGUAGCUCAAAAGAAUAAUAAAUUAAAUAAAUAGUUGUAGAAAUAGCAGAAUUCACCAUUUUUUGGGGGCAAAGGUUGCAAUCAUUACCAUCAAAGUACGUUGUGUUGUAACACGCAAGCAUAAAACCAUACACAUUAUAAAUUGCAAAAAGAAACUUAAAGCACAAAUAAAUAAAUUAAAGUUUCAUGCUAUAAUAAAAUAUAAACCGAAAAAUAAAAUUAUUCGUCAUUUUUCUACAAACCAUUUAUUUUUAAAAAAAAAAAUGUUAGUAUAACACAUACAUAUCAUAAUUCCAUAAAAACUGUCUUUUGCUUCAAAAAAAACCGACCUUAAAUCACAUGAGAACCAAAAACAUAUCAUAUCCAAUCUACAUCCUCCCAUUUAUCAAACGAUUUGAAUUGUGACAGAAAAGAGAGUUAUACCCUUUGAUUUUUAUCAACUUAUAAAAUGAUCAAAAUACCCCUCUUAUAAUGAGAACAAACCUGUAAAAACUGAUCAUUUUGACCAAAAUACCCUCUUAUAAUGAGAACUAUCUUCCAUUUUUAAUUUCCACCAUAUUUUUUUCUAUUUUUAUCGAAUCAUUUAUUCCAGAAAAGCCAUAUAAUACGAAAAUUAUAAGCCAAAAAGACCUUCAAUCUCCCAGACAUCUUCAAAAAUGCAUUCUAGACCCCUUCAGAUCAAGUAAAUUUCCGACAAACUCAACCAUCAUCUUCAUCAGUAAAUCAGUUAUCUCAGGUAAAACAAACUAAAAAUGUAUGCAAGAACCUGAUAAGAUAAGGUCUACACCCAACCAUUGUUGUUUUCUUUAUUUUCACAAAAUAAACAUUUCUUCUAUUUCUACUAUUCUUGAAACUUGGUUUAAAAAGUUCUUGAAUUUUGAAAAUAAAAACCAAAGACUUUUUAACAACUGAAAAUUCAAAUCCAUGAAAAAAAUGAUAUUUUUAAGUAAGGAAUUGCAAAAAGAACAAGGGCUGGAAAUAUUUCAUCAAGAAAUUGUAAUUAUGAAGAGAAGCUUACCACAAGAGCCGUAUUCUUGAUUACAAUGUCAUAAUAUGAUAAACAGUUAAUACAAUGUCUUACUUGCUUAGACUAACUAAAACUAUAAUGCUAGUUAGAUUAUCAAAUAACAUCUUAAUAGAAAAAAAUACUAAAAGUUCAAUAUCUUAAUAAGUAAAAAAAUUUCAUAUGUAAAGUUUUGAAAGAAUAAAGCAACAAAUGGUCAGAUUUUCAAAGUACAAAGUGUUGCAAGAAAAUAAAAUUACAAUGUCAUUACAAAAAAGAUUGAAAUGAUAAUGUUAGAUAUUUCGAGUACACUUUGUCUUAAAGAAGAAAAAAAAAAAAAAAAAAACGAUAAUGCUAUGUAUUCUGUCUUAAUGGUAAAAAAAAGUACCAACAUCGUGAUAGGUUAGAUUCAUAAAGAAUAAGUAAUAGGAAAGUAUUAAAAGUAAUUUGUCUUAAUUGUAAAAGGAAAGUUUUAGUAGAUCAGAUUUUGAAAGAAUAAUAAUAUUAUAACAGGUUAGAUUUUUAAAAACGUUUUAAAAGAAAAAACAAACUAAAAUUAAAAUGUCUUAAUAAGAAUAAUGCUAUAACCAAUUAGUUUUCCCCAUAAUGGUAAAGACAGUAUGAUAUCACUGAUACCUAAAAUCAAACAAUGUAAGAAUUCUGUAGUGUUCUAAUAGGUUUAAUGUACAAUCAAAGGGCAACAUCUUUUUAAGCGGAGAAAACAAUUCAAAGCACAAUGUCUUAAUAGAAUAUAAAAAUAAAAAUGUUAUAAUAUAUGUAACUGAAAUCCAACAGGUUCAGUUUUUUAAAGUGCAAGGUUAGAAAAAAAAAAAAAAGUACAAAUGUCUUAAUAGGUUAGAUUACGGGAGUAAAAGCUAUAAAUAAAUAGCAUACAAUGUUAGAAAUGUUUAGAACUUUAAUGUCUUCAUAAGUAAGAUAUUGAAAAUGAUAUGACUUUCAAUGUACAAUAACUUAAUUAGAAAAAAAAAAUAAGUAAAAGUGCAAUGUGCUGAUAGAAAAAAAAAUUAGAAUCUAAAUGAUAUAAGUGGCAACCAAAAUCAAACAAGUUUAUAAUGUAUUAUUAUUAAAAUUAUUACAAUGUCUUGAUAGGAAGAAGAACAAAGAAAAGUAUAAUGGUACAAUUAGUAAAGAAAAAUAACUUUACAUUUUCAAAUGCAAUGUCUUAUUACCAAAAAAGUGGUUUGACUUUAAAAGUGUAACUAAAGCUCUAAAAGUAUAACACUAAAUUGGUUUGAUUUUCAAAGUAUAAUGUGUCCUAAAGGGUAAAAAAAGAAAAAUGUUUUAAUGGGGAAAAAAGUAAAAGUAUAGAGCUAUAUUAAGUAACAAAAACAAAAAAAUAAAAAAAAAAGAUUUUCAACAAAAAAAUGUCAUACAAUAGAUUUUCGAAGUGUAAUAAAAGUAAACUAAUUUAACUGGUUAAAUUUUCUAGAUACAAUGUUUUAAAAGGAAAAAAAAGAAAGAAAAAAAGAGAUACAUGAUGUCUAGGUUAACAAAAAACAGAUUUUUUGAAUACGAUGCCUAAAAAGUAAAUAUAUUUAAGUUAUACAUUGGUAACUAAAACCAAAUGAGAUUAGAUUUUCAAAUUGUAAUCUCUUACAAAUAUUAGUAUUAUCUAUUAUUAAUUUUUAGAAAUAAAUAAAAGUGCAAUGGUAUUGGUAACCAAAAAUAAACAAGUUUAGAUAUUAGGGAUACAAUGUAUAAUUGUCUAGGUUUUUAGAAUACAAUGUUUUAAUGGAAAAAAUAAUUAAAUCUACAAUAUCUUGAUAUGUUAGAUUUUCAAAGUGUAAUAUCUUAAGAGAAAAAAAGAAGGUACAACGAUUUUGUAAGUUAGAUUCUAAAAGUACAAAUGCUAUAGUUGGCAACCAAAAUCAAAGUCCAGAGUCUCAAUAUCUUUGGAUUAAGAACAAUUAAAAAAAAUCUCUAAAAGGUUAGAUUUGGAAAAUAUAAUGUUCAAAUUAGAAGAACUCUUUAGCUGGUUCGAUGUUCAAAGUUAUUAAUGUUUUAAUAGAACAUGGUAUAGAUAUAUUUUUUAAAAGGUCAUUACUGGUCAGAUUUUAUAAGUACAUCUUAAUAAGAAGAAAAAAAAUAAAAGAGUAUUGAGGGUAUAUUGCUAUAAUCUAUUACAUUUUCAAAAUACAAUGUCUUAAUAGAUAAUAACAAUUAAGCAAAACAAAACAAAUUUGGAUUUUCAUACAUAAAAAUGUCCUAACUGAAAAAAAAAAUAGAAUGUUCUAUUAGAUUUUGAGUGUAAAAUGUUGUAAUGAAAAAUACAAGGUUACAAAUAGUUGGAUUUUCAAAGUACAGUGUAUUACUAAAAAUACAAUGUUUUAUUAGAAAACUAUGAAAAAGUACAUCAUGUUAUUAUGAAAGCAAAUACAAUAUCUUAUUAUGUUGGGUUUUGAAAGUACAAUGUCAUAAUUGAAAGUAUAAUGUUGUAUAUAACUAGCUUUUCAAAGUACAAUGUCUGAAUAGAAAACAACUAGAACUUCAAGUAUACUAUGGAUGCUAAACAACAUAGAACACAUAUAGAAACAAAAACAUCAAUACAAUGUUUUAAUAUGCUAAAUUUUCAAAGUGCAAAGUCUUAAAUGAAAAAAAAAAUGAAUGUUUUACCUUUACAAUGUGUUAGUAGGUAAAAAUUUGAGUGUUUACUACUAUAUUGUGUAUUUAAAUAGUACAAAAACUUAAAUAAGAACAUUAAAAGUGUCACUUUUUAGCAGGAAAUAAAUUUAAUUAUUAAAAGUAUAAUGUCUUCAUAGAACAUGUUUUAUAUCUUAACAGAAUGGAUUUUGAAAUUACAAAUAACGCUUAAUUUUGUUAUAUUUUGAAAGUACAAAUGUUUUAAUCAAAGUGCACUAUAUUUUUUGUUAUAGCAUAUUUUACUUAUAGCUAUAACUCUUUUGAUUAUCAGGAAAUACAAUGCUUUAUACAAAAAAGUUAAAAGCUAUUCGCCUUAAUUGCAAACCAAAAACAUGUUGGAAUUUUUGAAGUAAAAAAUCUAAGUAAGAAAAAAAAAAAAAAAUAGCAUGAAAUGCUAUUGAAUCAAUACGUAAUAGUUAAAAGCUAUUACUUUUCUCCUUUGAAAGCAAAAUGCUAUAUAAUCGUUGGAUUUUUUAAAGUAGCCUGAAUCAAUACAAAAACAACUUCAUAAGAAAAAAACAACUUCAUAAUAGCAAAGAACAAAGGAAGGUGUAAUUUGUAUAAAUUAGUAACCAAUGUGCAAUGUCUUAAUAAGAAAGAUAUUAAAGUAAGAUUGACUUGAUAAGAAAAAAAAAUGAUUUGAUUUUAGAAGUAUAACUGAAAGUAUAAUGCUAAAAUUGGUUCUGUUUACAUAGUACAUUGUCUUGAUUGGUUAGACUUAGUAAGAAUAAAGCUCUAAUUGGUUGGAUUUUCAAUAUAUAAUGUUUUAAAGGAGAAAAGUUUUAAUGUCUUGAAAAGAAAAAAGAAAAAAAAAUUAAAAUAUUAUACAUGGUAACAAAAAAGUUAGGUUUUCAAACAGAUUACCUAUUGAAAGUGUAAUAAAAGAAAAAAGUAUUAAUAGGUUAGAUAUUGAAAGAAUAAGCCUAUAAAUGGUUAGAUUUAGAAAAUACUACGUUUUAAAAGCUAAAAAAUAGGUUCCAAAUGUUUUAAAAAAAAUGUUUACAUAACAUAUUGGUAACUAAAAAAUUGCUUAAUGACCAUUUUGGAAUGUGAUAAAAUACUAUAAAGCAUAUAAAGUACAAAGAAAUAGUUUAGGAACUGUGUACGAAGGUUAGUUUGAAAAAUUUAACUUUUUCCAAAAAAGUAAAAAAACAAAGUUUUUAUAGGUUAGAUAAUGAAAUUAUAAGGCUAUUACUACAAGUACAAUGCUAUGAUUACUAACAUUUUCAAAAAACAAAAAAAAAAAAUCUUUAUUGUAAAAACAAUAAAAGUAAAAUGUAUAAAAGGAGUAAAUGUUAAAUUUGAAAGAACAAUGUCUUAAGUAGAAUCUAAAUGUACAAACUAUAAUGUGAUAACUAAAUAUUCAAAGUAAGAUUACAUUGUCUUAAUAAGUUAUAUUUCAAUUUAUAACGAUAGAUUUGCUUUAGAUACUAAGAUUUAAAAGUAUUAAAGUUCUUUAUAAUGACAUAAUUGGUAACAAAAAUCAAACAGGUUAAAACUUUCAAAGUAAAAUAUCUUAAUAGGAAAAUUUUCUAAGUGUGUCUUAUUAGGUUAAGUUUUAAACAUACAACUAGGGUCUUUUUUUUUGGUUUUUCUAUUUUUUUUAUUAUUAAAAUGUCCAGACAAUACAUUCUAAUAUUAACCAACACUAUGCAUCAGUUGAUCAUAACAUUAUAUGGUAAAUUCAUAAUGCUCAUAUAAUUAGAGAUAAAUCAUCUUAAACGUAGAAAAUAAAAGAAGACCGUUAAUUAAUGUCUUAAUAGAAAUGCAAAAUAGAAGGAUAAUGUCUUAAUAGCAAAUAAAAUAAAAGUAGAACGUAUUAAUAGGAUGGAUAACUGAAAGUAAAAUAAAAGUUAAAAUUUUCAAAGUACAAUUAGGAAAAACAAUUAUGAGAGGAGCGUCUUAAUAAACAGAGAAUAUAAUUAUAUGAUAAGUGACGUAAAUCAAACAAGUAGACUUUUAAAUACCAUAGUCUUAAUAAGAUCUAAUUUGAAACUAUCAGGCUAUAAAUGACAAUUUUUAACAUAUUUAAAUAAGAAAAAUUAAAGUAUAAUGGUUUAACACAAAAUAAUUUAAGUAUGAUGAUAUAUAAGAGGUAACCAGAUUCAAAGUUCAAAUUCUCAAAGUAUAAAGUCUUUGGAUUGAAAACAAUAAAAAAAAUGUCUAAAAAGUUAGAUUUUCAAAGGAUAAUUUAUUAAUAGAACUUAUUAUAGGUACAAUUUCUUGAUAGGAAAAAAAAAGUUGGAAGUCCAAUGUCUUAUAUGUUAUAAAUCGAAAACAUAAUGUCAACAGUGGGUUAGAUUUUAUGAAUAAAUCUUAAUAAGAAAAAAUAAUUAAAAGAAUAUCUUAUUAGGAAAAAUAUUGAGUAUGAUGCUACAAUCUGUUAGAUUUACAAAGUACAAUGUCUUGAUCAAAGUGGCUGUAUCUUUAUAAGAAAUAACAAUUCAAAGUACAAAUUCAGAUUUUCAUAAAGUAAAAAAAUGUCCCAACAGAAAAAAUAAAAAAGAAAGUUCUAUUAGAUUGACUGUAAAAUGUGGUAAUUAAAAGUACAAAGUUAAAAUUGGUUGGAUAUUUAAAGUACAACUUAUUAAUAAAAAUACAUUAUCUUAUUAUGAAUAGAAAUACAAUAUUUUAUUAUUUUGAGUUUUACAAGUACAAUGUUAUAAUUGAAAGUAUAAUGUUAAAUGUAAUUAGCUUUUUAAAGUACAAUGUCUUAAUAGAAAACAAUUAGAACUUUAAUGUCUUAAUAGGGAACCAAAUUACAAGUAUAUUUACUAUAGAAGCUAAGCAAAAUAGAACACAUAUAGAUUGAGAAAGUACAAAGUAUUAAUAGACAAAUAAGUAAAAGUAGAAUGUCUUAAUACAUUAAAUUUUAUAAGUAAAUGUUAAAAAAACUAAAAGUUCAAUGUUACAUAUUGAGAUAUGGUAACCAAAUCAAAUAAAUUCAGAUCUAAACAAUGCAAUUUCUAAAAAAUAACUAUUAAUAGAUUAAAUUUUGAAAGAAUAAAGCUAAAAAUGGUUAGAUUUUGAAAAUGCAAUAUCUUAAAGAAAUUAAAUAAAUAAAUGUACAAUGUCUUGAUAAGAAAAAAAAAAACUAAUACUAUAUUGUGUUAAUGUGUUGGAUUUUAAAAGUAUAAUGUUAUUAAAUUUUCAAAAUACGAUAUCAUUAUAGAAAAAAAAAAAACAUUAGUACAAUAAUUUAAUAUGCUAAAUGUUCAAAAUGCAAUGUCUUAAAUGAAAAAAAGGUAUGUUUUACCUUUACAAUGUCAAUGUCUUAAAUGGGAAAAACAUUAAAAGUAAAAAAAGUAUAUAUGUGGUUGCCUUUUAAAGUAAAAUGUCGUGGAAAAAUUAUUAAAAGUACAAAAUCUUAAUCAAAAAAAUCAAAAGAAUAAUGUUGUAGUUUGUAUAUAUAUACACAACAUCUUAAUGUUAGAUUUUCAAAUUUAACACUAUAACUACUUUGAUUAUCAGAAAAUACAAUGUCUUAAUACAGAAAAGAUAAAAGUUCAAUUUUUUAAAUCUAAAAAAUAUUGAGUUUCCAACCCUAUAAUUGGUAACCAAAAACAAGUUUAAAAUUUCAAAGUACAAAAUUUAAGUAACAAAAAAGAUAAACCAUAUGAGAGCUAAAAGGUAUACUGACUUAAUACAAAAAUUAUUAAAAGUACAAUGUCUUAACAGAAAAUUAGAAUAUAAAAUGUAGCCAAAAUUGAACAAGUUCAAACUUUUAAAGUACAAUGUCUUAAAGAGAUAGAUUAUGAGAGUGCAAUGUAGAUGAAUAUAUCAAGUUAUAAUUGGUUUAAAUAUUUAAAGAGCAAUAUCUUAAUAAGAAAAAAAGUAUAAUGCUAUAACUGGUAACCAAAAUCAAUCUAGUUUAUAUAUUCAAAGAACAAUGUUUUAUCUCUUAGUAGCAAAAAAAGUAAAAGUGCAAUGCCUUAAGUGAAACUAUAAUGCUCUAUUUGAAAAGUAUAAUGCUAUAAUUGGUUGUAUCUUGAAAGUGGGAAAAAAGGAAAAUAUUAGAUAUUGUAACCAAAUAAAAAAAAAAAAAAAAAAAAAAAAAAAAAAAAAAAAAAAAAAAAACCUAAGAUUUUCAAAAUUGAAUGUGUUAGUAGAAUAGAUUUUCAAAGUAUAAUAAAAGUAAAAUGUGUUAACAGAUUAGAUUUUGAUUAGAAUAAAGCUAUAGAUGAUUAGAUUUUAGAAAUGCAAUGUCUUAAAAAGAAAUAAAAGAUGAAUUUCACCUACUAUCUUAAUAGAAAACAAAAGAAAAAUGCAAUGUCUUAUUAGAAAAAAAAAUGAAGGUGUAAUGAUUAAAUGUUAAAUAAAAUCAAGUACAUACAAAUAAAGUGUUAUAAUUGGUAAGUUCAUUGCCAGUUAUUAGUUGAAUUUAUAUAGUAUAUAAUGUAUUAAUGUGAAAAAAAAAAUUAUAAUUACAAUGUCUUCUUAACACAUAAAAAGUAAAAGUAUAAUGCUGUAAAUGGCAAUGAAAUCAAAUAAGUUAAGGUUUUCAAAUUAGAAAGUCAUAACAAUAAAAUUAAAUUAAAGUAAUAAUCUCCUAACAGGAAAAAAAAUGAAAGUAAAGCUGUAAAGGGUAACCAAAGACAAAUAAAUUUAUAUUUUCAAAUUACAAAAUCUUAAUAGAAAACCAUAUAUAACUAUAUAGGUACAUUGUCUUAAUAGGUUAGAUUAUGAAAGUAAAAUGUCAUAAUUAUAAUGCUACAACUGGUUAGAUUUUUUGAGUACAAUGUUUUAGUAGAGAAAAAAGAAUUUACAUUGUCAUUAACAAGAAAAAAAAUUGGAAGUAUACUGUUAUAAACUUAUAUAUGAUAAUAGAAAUUAGGAACCAGAACUUAUAAUGCUAAAAUUAGUAACCAAAAUCACACAUGUUUGGAUUUUCAAAAUACAAUAUCUUAAAAGGGAAAAGGUUAAAAAUACAAAAAACAUAAUGCUAUAAGUGUUGUAUACAUGGUAACAAAAAAAUUAGGUUCUCAAAUAAUGUUAGAAUUUGAAAGUCUAAUAAAAGAAAAAUGUAAUAAUAGAUUAGAUUUUGAAAGAAUAAGCCUAUAAAUGGUUAGAUUUACAAAAUACUGUGUUUUAAAAGCAAAAAAAUAAGUUCCCAAUGUCUUUAAAAAAUAUUUAAGUAAUACAUUGGAGGUAUAACAUUAUAACUUAAUAUUUAAAGUAUAUUGUGUUAAUAAGAAAAAGAUAAAAUUACACUGUCUUAUAAGUUAUAUUUCAAAUUAUAAUGAUAGAUUUGGUUAGAUACUUAGAUUUAAAAGCACUAAAGCUAUUUACAGGAAAAUAUUUGAAAGUAUAUUGGUACAACUGGUAACCAAAAUCAAACAAGUUAACAUAAAUGUCUUAAAUCUUAAUAGAGCAAACUAAAUUUCAAAGUAUAAUAUCAAAAUUCUUAAAGGAUUAGAUUUUCAACAUACAAUGUCUUGAAAGGAUAAAAACUAAAUUCCCUGCGUUCAUAUGCAUUGGUUCUAAAUUGCAUUCAAUCACAACAUACCAACUUAUGAGACAAUAGGGAAAAGCUUAGUAGAUUUAAUUCUAGGUUUAGAGAAAUAAAAUCUACUGUGGUUCUUGUUUGACAAGAGAUAAACGAUGACAACAUGAAUCUUCAAUCGAGGUAAAGAAAUUCAAUUAUUCAAUUAAUACAUAAUCUGUUUUUCAAAAUGUCAUUAUUAAAACAUUGAAAUCAGGUACUGGGAAACGAUAUAUCUGCACGUCUCAAAUUUAGAGAACCCCCAUCAUUAAUAAAAAAAAAAAAAAAAAAAAAAGGUGAUUAGAGUGUUGUUGAAUCGAAACCCUACCUGAUGUUUGAAUUCUUGUUAAAUCACUGUAAUUGCAGACAACAAAGGAGCAAUUCAACAGCCUGAAACUUUUAUCUUUUAUAAUCUGCAAAGCAUCCGGUAAAACAGAUUUUACACAAAAAAAACCCUCAAAGAAGACAUGGAAUACUAGAGAAUAUAGAAACCCCAAUGACGAAACAGAAUGAAAUUAAAACGGUCAUCAACGUUCGAUUCUUUCUUCUCCAUACAUCAAUUUUAAUUUUACAGAAGAAAAUCUCUCAACUCGAUUUACAGAAAGAAAAAUAAAAACGAUAGAACUCAGAUAGAAUAAAAUACAGAGCAAAAAAAAGACUUACAGAGAUGUUGAUAAUUUAUUGGAUUGCGGAUAUGGCUAUAGUCUCCAGACCGAGAGAAGAACGACUGAAGAGCGCAUCUAUCUAUAUCGCCGAUAUACACCGACCCAA